AUCGUUUCUCUAUAACAUCUUGAGGAGCAUAAACAUUCACCAUACAACAUUCCAUAUUAAAUGGCACCUAUAUACCUCGAAAAAUAACAACAUUGAUGGUACAAACAAUGUUAUUUUUUUGAAACACAUUAGGAUCCCAAAUCGAUAAAAUACCCCCCUGAUCUCCCACGAACACUACUAAAAGCAAAACCAAAAUUACAAUUCCCCCACAUACUUAUAACUUUGAAGAGAUCCAACUGAGUCAUUCUAGUUUCUUGUAACCCCAAAAACGACCCACCAUUUUUAACACAAAAAGACUUCACCCAAUUCCUUUUAUGAUAAGAACGGGUGCUACAUAUAUUUAAAGACAUGCAAUUCAUUAAACAAUCUGAAUCACACCAAUAAUAGCCAAAAUUUGUUUCACAUUAUCUUUGUUACCCUCCAUAUCAUAACCAAGCAACCUUCUCAUUUCAACAUACCGUGUCAUGAUAUUUGAAAUAUCUUUAAUAAUAGACGGGACUUGUUUUUUCAACAAUCUCAAAGAACCAUGAGAACUAGCAGAAUUAGACUUCAUUUUACUAGUUCCAUGAUCCAACUCAAUAUCACGCUUGAAACCAGGUAGAUGUGAAAAAGACUAAGCCGAUACAUUAUCAUCACCCAACCCUUGAACAACCUCCACCGUAGGACCUGCCACUGUAGCAAUCAGGACAACCGAAAUUGUUCCAGAACCGUCAACAUCUACCAGACCAACCAUAGGAACAUCUAAUGGCACCGAAUUGAACACCCUCCUGUUGGCAUCAGAUUUUAACGAAUCUGUUUGAAAAAAAUCGGCCUUUCCGGUCCACAAAACCUGCCCCUGUUACUAACAGAAUCCUGCUCAAUGCCAAAUGAAUUAUCAUUCUCCAUAUCAAUAGACUAAACUUUACCCUUAUGUAUCAUUUCCCAUUUCUUCUUCAACUACAACAUCAUCAAAACCAUUAACACCCUUUUCCGAAUCACCAGAGAGAGAAGGUAGAUCACAAUCUAGUGCUUCUUCCUUACUAAAAAUAUUAGGUUCCCAAUUUGACAAUUCUCUAACCACUACAUCAUACAAAAUUCCUUGUACCACCAAAGACAAUUUAUCAUGAAUUAAUGAAGGUUUAGUUUCUUUAAUACAAACUCUUUUAAUCGACAAUGGAGCUUGAUUAUCAUCAUCCAAGAAACACACUUCACCCCAAAUUUCUGUCACCUUAUUCACUACACCAUCAUUCCAUGCACAACAUGGUAAGCCAAAAUUUUUAAUCCAAACAACCCUCUCUAAGACUUUAAACCCAUUAAACACAAAUUUGAAAUUAGAGAAAAAAGAACGAACAUAAGAAGACUUCUUAAACUUAGUACACAUCAUAUCUGAAUCAAACUCCACAUAAACCCAAUCACCACCCAAAUAUUUGACUGUAAAUCAUGAAAACCUUCCUCUUUCAGCAAGACUAAUAACUUCAAGAUCAACCUAACACUUCUAAAUUGACAAAAAACUGAUGGUUUCAAAGCCAAAUCAUUAACAAGAACACUUUCACCAUUAAGACCUAAUCCAUUAAAGCCAAAGAUGUAAGUCCUUAAUCCAUUAAGAGUUUCACCCAAAAACUUCCAAGAAGCUAAAGGGGACUCUCAAGGUCCAUAAAAAUGAUUGCUUUAUGGACAUGCAUGCCUCAUGCAUGUCAAUAAUCCAUUCUAGGUCAAAAAUGAAGAAAUUUAAACCAUAACUCAUAUGCAUGGAUCCAAUAAUCAACCAACUUCUAUAUCUGAACGUUAUCAUACUCAAGGGACCCUUAGAAUGUAUAAAGUUGCCAACUUUAUGUGUUCCUUCUAUUCAAACUUGCUUGAUCAUGAAAAACAUGGGACAACAACUUAGAUCUAACCACUUUAAGCAAUAAAGUUUGAGCCUUUGACACUUACAAAGGUCUAAAAACAAUAUGAGAUGAUGAUGAUUUUUCCUUUCAAGAUCAACCAAUAAAACACCUUCUUCUCAUUCUUCUUCAAGCCAACAAAUGCUCCAAAAAGCCAAGAAUCACCAAGGAAUCAGGGUUAUGGUUUUUCUGAGGUAAAAAGGUGUUGGAGGCUGGUAAUGAACCCUAAAAUUGACUUAGAGGGGCUUAAAUACAAAGGAAACCCCAAAAGAUCAUGGGCUUGGGUUGUAGUAGGUUUCACGUCAUGACACCUUGUGUCUCACGUCAUGAGGAUGGUCCGAAUCACAUUUUGCCCUUAACACGUCGUGAGCACCCAAUAGCCACGUCAUGUCACUCGAUUUCCUCAAAAAAAUCAACCUUUUGACUCCUUGAAACCGUAAAUCGAUCCAUCCUGGAAAACAAGUGUUACAUUAUAACUUGAUAUUGAUUAAAAUGUUGAUAGUGAAAUCAACUUUAACUGUUUAGGCAUGAACCAAAUCGAAGAUAGUUAAGAAAAAAAACAUCUUAAUCAAAAAAAGAUCAUUGUGAUCAUGUACAACUAAAUGCAUAGGAUUAUCAUGAGUGUAAAUCGUCUAAUGCGAGAUGAAUUGAUGGAAUGAUGAUUCUAUACGAAACUUCUGUGAUACUCGAUUUCGAGUUGAAUAGAUGAAUUCUUGAGAAUGGACUACAUAAAAAACAACUAAAUAUAUGGGAUCAAGAUCUAAGUAUGAUAGAGAUCAUUUUUCACUUCUAGGAUCUUAAAAUCGUAAAAUCUUGAGAUCAAGAUUGGUAUCUUUACAACCAUUGUUUAUCGCAAUAAUAUUUCCGAUGUAUACCUUUUUGAAAACCCAAUAACACAUCAACGUAUAAAACAUGUUGAAAAAUGACAUUCAUUUUGUUCGUGAACAAAUACGUAUUUGGCGAAUCAAAGUUAUGCAUGUGUCCAAUGAUUAUCGGUAUGUAGACAUCUUUGUUAAAGGCCUAACUCGACACCUCUUUCAUCAGGUUUUAAGAACAAUUUGAGCAUUUGAUAUCAUGCGGCUCAAAUUGCAGGAAAUACUAGAUGUNNNNNNNNNNNNNNNNNNNNNNNNNNNNNNNNNNNNNNNNNNNNNNNNNNNNNNNNNNNNNNNNNNNNNNNNNNNNNNNNNNNNNNNNNNNNNNNNNNNNNNNNNNNNNNNNNNNNNNNNNNNNNNNNNNNNNNNNNNNNNNNNNNNNNNNNNNNNNNNNNNNNNNNNNNNNNNNNNNNNNNNNNNNNNNNNNNNNNNNNNNNNNNNNNNNNNNNNNNNNNNNNNNNNNNNNNNNNNNNNNNNNNNNNNNNNNNNNNNNNNNNNNNNNNNNNNNNNNNNNNNNNNNNNNNNNNNNNNNNNNNNNNNNNNNNNNNNNNNNNNNNNNNNNNNNNNNNNNNNNNNNNNNNNNNNNNNNNNNNNNNNNNNNNNNNNNNNNNNNNNNNNNNNNNNNNNNNNNNNNNNNNNNNNNNNNNNNNNNNNNNNNNNNNNNNNNNNNNNNNNNNNNNNNNNNNNNNNNNNNNNNNNNNNNNNNNNNNNNNNNNNNNNNNNNNNNNNNNNNNNNNNNNNNNNNNNNNNNNNNNNNNNNNNNNNNNNNNNNNNNNNNNNNNNNNNNNNNNNNNNNNNNNNNNNNNNNNNNNNNNNNNNNNNNNNNNNNNNNNNNNNNNNNNNNNNNNNNNNNNNNNNNNNNNNNNNNNNNNNNNNNNNNNNNNNNNNNNNNNNNNNNNNNNNNNNNNNNNNNNNNNNNNNNNNNNNNNNNNNNNNNNNNNNNNNNNNNNNNNNNNNNNNNNNNNNNNNNNNNNNNNNNNNNNNNNNNNNNNNNNNNNNNNNNNNNNNNNNNNNNNNNNNNNNNNNNNNNNNNNNNNNNNNNNNNNNNNNNNNNNNNNNNNNNNNNNNNNNNNNNNNNNNNNNNNNNNNNNNNNNNNNNNNNNNNNNNNNNNNNUUAACUAUUAUUGGUAUAGAUUCUAUUUCCGUAGUUUUGUUGACCUAUAUUCUCUAUUUAUACAUUGGUUAAUUAUAAUGACAAAUGAGAUGAAUGAGAUCAUUCCACAAUCUUUUAAAUUGAAUUAAAUCUGAUCUUUAAAAAUAACAAAACUUGUGUUUUAAUUAAGAUGAAUGGUCACUUGUCUAAUAAUAAAACUAGGAUAAGACUCACUUGGAAUGUUAAUAUCUUAUAAAAGAAAAGCAACUAGUAGUUGAAAUGUAAGAAAAGAAAAUAAACUAAUUAAAAGCGAUGUUAGAAUCAACUUGAUCCAUUUCCAAAUUCCAAUUACAAACAACGUGAUCAAAUAUUAGAACACAUGUCGAAAAAGAAAAGGUGAUGUGUACCUACUGAUAUCAUUACCUUUUUUUAUAUAGGUUUUUAUAUGAGAGGUGAGGUGAUUCGUAAAUUACAAAUUUUAUCUCCAUACAACAAUUUAUAUUUUAAAAUAUUGUAUCGUACAACUAUACUAAACAUAUAAAACGUAUAAAACGUUGUGUCGUAAAUAUACGAAGGAGAAAUCAUAUAAUAGGUCUGGCCCAAUUAACUAAACACGUAAUUGAAACGUUUUAAUUUCUUAUCAAAGAACUACUGAAAUACUAUGAAAUUGGAAAGCAUUAAAAAGGAAGGAAAAAGAAACAAAGGGAGGAUGUGGGGGACUUGUGUCCAUUCACUGGAUCUGAAUAAUUGAGAGCAUGUGUGGCUGCCUGUUAAUCGAACGUGAUGGCUGAUGGGUAUUUGUCACGAUUGUAUCACGGCCCAAUAGCACAACUUCUGCUAAAUGCUCAUUAUUCAACACCCCAAUUAUGAAUAAACUUUCAUUUGGUUAUUUAGGAACGUAAAUGAUGUAAAAUAAGGCUAUUUAUGCUAAUAGAACUUCAAUGAAAGUCAGAAAGGAAUAAAAACGCAACAAAAGGUUAAAAAAAAAAGAAAUAAAGAAAUGUAAAUUUAUUAUAGUUCAUAUAAAUACAAUCGACAAUUUCAAACAAAACAGACGGAUCUAGGUGGUUCCCAUGGUAGCCCAAGAUGUUCCUCAAAAAAAUUUCAGUAGUGUAUUUUUUUUUCCGAUUUUUUUUCAAUAGUGUAAUUUUUUUCGGAUACCCCUUUACUCCACUUUACUUUGAUCUUGGCUCCGCCAAAAUCAUAUGAAACUUAAUCAAAACCAAAUUAUUUAUAUUUUGUUUAAAAUCAAUUUACUUUUGAAUCAAACAAUGCACCAAUUUCUUUGUAUCACGAAGAGCUGGAAGAGCUGAUGUACGUGUAACUUAAGUUCCUCCGUUGUUUGGUUUCAAAAAUAAACUAUUGUUAAAAGUAGUCUUACAGAUGUCUAAGGUGUUUGUUUUUUACUUUUUUUUUCUUGCAAAAACUCUUUUUUGAUCAUUUUUGUAUGUGGGCUUCUCCUAAAAUCUUUUGGAAACCACUUCUCACCGUAUUCACGUAUUUCUAGAGUCUAGACAUCAAAAUCCUGUUUAUAAAAAAUGGGCUCAAUAAAUCGCAAUCAUCUAUUGUUGAGUUGUUGUGCUUACUAGGCCCAUGUUUUAAGCCUAUUCAAUAGUUAACAUAGAAAAUGACAAAAUAAAGCUGCAUAGGAGGAGUGGACAACUGUAUAGGGGCGAAUUUAGAACAGACUGGGUCAGAAGCUGACUGAGUUAACUGCUGACUAAAACUUGUUGUUUGAUUUUGCAUAUAUUGAUUGUGCAAAAUGACUAUAUUACCCUCAAAGUGUCUAUCUUCUGAUUUCAUGAUUUUUGAGUUCUCUAUGAAGCAAUCAUACCUUCUGAGACAUUGAGGAUUAUCAAAUAAGCACAGUCGAAAUUUGAAAACCAAUUUAUUAGGAACUUUUUGAAGAAAUCUUACCUUAAUAACCUCUCUCAUUUCUUGAACUCUAAAAUUAAGACUUUUAUUAACAGUCAAGAAUACAGUUUACAAUAGUUUUUAACAGAAAACUAGCCAAACAUAUAUGUAUAUGGCAUAACUAUACAACGUAACCUUAAUCAAACAUCCAACCUCAUUACCCAUUUACUCCAACACUACAAAAUCUUGCUACACUGAAAGAUGAUGUUGACCUUUGACUGCAUAGUCAACCGUUUGACUUCAAGAACAUGAACCACUAAUACUUGUGUCAUCUUCCAUUUUCAGAUUCUAUAUUCAAAUACCUUCUUCAAUCAAAUUCUCCAUUGUUGCUUAAUACCUGUUUGGAGCAUUCAUCCAUCUAUUAAUGUGAUAGGAACCCAUCCCUCACGAUCCAUGUUUAACCUCAAAAAGUCACCUUUCACCAAAUUGUCAUCACCGUGAUUUCACAAAAAUAAUUUUGUCACCCACAAAUAUAGUAUAAUUUUUUUUAAGUAAAAACUCAUCUGAAAUAAUAUUCAAUCUGCUUAACUAUCUUGACAUUCAAAGGAGGGUUUAUGAGAGGUACAAACUUGGGAACCGAAGGAUGAGCUUGAGGAAGAACAUGUGGGCCCAUGUAUGGUUCAGAAGAUAGUGUAAGGAGAUAUACAUAUGAUACAACCAUAUCUAUGAAAAGUUUGAAGAAUUCAGUCAUAGAUUUUUAUCGGAGAAAAAGAAAACAUAAUGUCACUUACCAUAAGCCAUGGAAGCUCCAUAUGGAGGAGGAAUAAAUAGAGAAAAAGUUGGAUGUGGUGGUGGAAUAUAUCCCCCGAGGAGAUGCGGCGGAGGAGCGAUUUGAUGUUGCAUACGAACAUCUCCAGAUCCAUGACUUUGAGUACCAUGCCAAUCACGAUCAUGGUGUCACACCCCGAAAACCGAAAUGCGGAAACAUUUCCGGGGUUGACUCCACGUUGAGUAUCAAAUCCAAUGUACAUAGUAAGUAAAGUGAAACAAACAUUACAUUACAUAUUAAAGUUUUACGAUUUGAUUCAAAAGACACAGUUUAUACAGUUGUGAUACAUAAUAUAGUUAUAAACAAAACGAACGAGCCUUGCACACACACGAUCCUGAACCAAGUAAGUCUUCGGGUACCUGUACUAUCGUUGACCUGAGAACACAAGCAGUUUGAAAAUCAACAUAACGCUGGUGAGUUCAUAAGUAGUUUUGUUUUGUGAAAAAGUUUAUGUUUCCUUUCUGUUUCUGAAAAUGUAACACACACCAAGAAAAUCCCAUAUUUUCUUAAAAGUUGGUUGUUGUAUCACAAAAGUAAAGUAUAGUUUGAUUAUCCACUUCAUUGUUCUAUUCCUUUUAUGUACCAGUGUAUUCCCAGGAAAGUCCUAUACUUUCCUAAAUUGUUAGUUAUUAUAAAAGAUGUAAUGAUAUACAGUUGGUUACACUUUUCUGAUUAUGUAUAUGUUACCCAGNAUAUAUAUAUAUAUAUGUAAAAGCACUACAUCAAAACCAAUUCAAUGUUUCUAAAUAAUCAUGACUCUAUCCAUUCUGAUCCAUUGUGAUACUUUAAGUCUUCAAUUCUAUCUGAAACACAACAUCGCUUCAUGUAAAGGGUUUAAAUCUUUAAUCACUUUCUUCAUCACCAAAUCUGAAGAAAAAAAAUAGUUAUGCAGAGCUCCAUAGAAGCAACCGUCUCUUUGUUUGCUGUCACACAUCAUAAAGUUUGCAUGAAAUUAACAAAAACAAGCUAACCUUUAAACAAAUAACAAGUUAGCAAUUAGUAAUGAUGUGAACCUGAAAAUCUGUUUGAGAGGCUGAAUAACCAAGAUAAGAGACAAACACAAUAGAUACAAAGAUACCAAAGGUUGAAGAAAGGAAGAGAAAUUCUUCUGGAAUCUCAGUAUCGUCGAUAUAUAAAAUCAAAAUUUUCAGAAUCAAAUAGAAAACACUAUCUACAGACUAUAAUUCACAAAUUACGUGAAUCAAGAAUUUAGAAAACAAUCAAACAUUAAACAGAAAAUCGAAAACUACAAGAAUCAUAAAUAAAAAACAACAUAUAAAAUUAGAUAUCCAAUUGGAUACUCAAAAUCAGAAAUCGAAAUUUACCAGAAAAAUAAGUGUGAUUGUGCAACCACAACUAUGGGCAGAUGGGUUAUUCCAUCGUCAAUCGACAACAUACAUAUGGUGGAGGAGGACGUUGGAGAAGCAGGAAGGUGCAGUCGGUGGCUCUGCUUAGUAGGCCGUUGGACGUCGGUCAUAGGGUGGAGGAGGACGACGUGUUCUGAGCAAGGGAAGGAUUGGCUGACGAAUGAGAUGGAUGGUUUUUGGGGUUUCUAGUUUCAGUGCUUGAGAAAGAAACUGAUCUUCAAUUUGAGUGGGGAAGCGUUCGGAAGAGAUGAAAGACAGGAAGUGAUCCAUCUAGUGCCAAAGGGCAAGAUGGGCAGAUGCUAAAGAUGACCCAGUCAGGAGCUUUUUUCCUUGGACCGAUUCUGAGGAUUUAGGAGAGUUAUGAACCGAGUUAGACACAAUAAUCAUGACAUCAAACAAACCGACUCAUACUGAAUCCACAAAAAUGUCUGACUGGACUGGGUCAAAAGACAAUCAAACAACCGCUAAUUAAACAUCGAUUGGGCCUCAACUAACAUCCUCACAACUGCUACCAGAAUAGCAUGUUCUCGACCUUAACUAGUUUUUUUUUCUUCUUAAAAUAAUAAAAGAUAAUUAAUAAAAAAUAAAAGUACUAAUAAUUCAACCUAGUAAUAUGGAUUUAUUAACCAAGCACGUAACUGGUCCUUCGUAAUUGGCCAAGAUUCAAAAUAUGAUAAGAUGGUAUAACCAGUUAGAAUUUUUUGGACAUGAUUGGCCUUCCUUAAACAAGACCUUUCUUUAACUGAUCUCGGGCCCAAUUUGGAUAGCCAUACGUCUUGCCACCUCUAAUAGUCUAAUCUCAUGUGCACAAAUCGUAUUUUUGGAAACUGAAUCAAUUUUAAAUCGGUUCGGUUUGAAUCAACAAAGUCAAAACCGUUUAGACUAAAACUGAAUCAAAUUGAAACUAGUUCAAACUGAAAGGUAACUAAACCUAUACAAACCAGAUCAGGCCGGACUGAAACCGGAUUGGAAGAAACGGUUUGGAUAAACUGAUCUGAUUAAGUUUUAUUUAACUUUUUUUUUUUGUCUUUGCCCUACUUUAGGUUUUGGUUAUUGGUAACUGGGUUGAAAUCAAUUUUUCUUAUUUGUUGUAUUGUGUUGGCCCACUUUGUUUUGUGUUUUUAGCCCAAACAAAAAUGAGAGAAGAAAUGCUGAAUAGAAAAAAGAUUNNNNNNNNNNNNNNNNNNNNNNNNNNNNNNNNNNNNNNNNNNNNNNNNNNNNNNNNNNNNNNNNNNNNNNNNNNNNNNNNNNNNNNNNNNNNNNNNNNNNNNNNNNNNNNNNNNNNNNNNNNNNNNNNNNNNNNNNNNNNNNNNNNNNNNNNNNNNNNNNNNNNNNNNNNNNNNNNNNNNNNNNNNNNNNNNNNNNNNNNNNNNNNNNNNNNNNNNNNNNNNNNNNNNNNNNNNNNNNNNNNNNNNNNNNNNNNNNNNNNNNNNNNNNNNNNNNNNNNNNNNNNNNNNNNNNNNNNNNNNNNNNNNNNNNNNNNNNNNNNNNNNNNNNNNNNNNNNNNNNNNNNNNNNNNNNNNNNNNNNNNNNNNNNNNNNNNNNNNNNNNNNNNNNNNNNNNNNNNNNNNNNNNNNNNNNNNNNNNNNNNNNNNNNNNNNNNNNNNNNNNNNNNNNNNNNNNNNNNNNNNNNNNNNNNNNNNNNNNNNNNNNNNNNNNNNNNNNNNNNNNNNNNNNNNNNNNNNNNNNNNNNNNNNNNNNNNNNNNNNNNNNNNNNNNNNNNNNNNNNNNNNNNNNNNNNNNNNNNNNNNNNNNNNNNNNNNNNNNNNNNNNNNNNNNNNNNNNNNNNNNNNNNNNNNNNNNNNNNNNNNNNNNNNNNNNNNNNNNNNNNNNNNNNNNNNNNNNNNNNNNNNNNNNNNNNNNNNNCACACACACUAGCCGUUUACUCGUGCUAAGCGAUGGAUAGUGUAUAGUUUCUUUCAGAAAUUAGUUUCUAGAGGUGGAUAAUAAUUAGUUUCAAUUCAACGAUGGUAUUGCAAGGAUAGUUUGUUAUAAACACUUGAAAGCAAUGAAAUAAAGACCCAAUCAAUCUUUGAGUCAUGAUUUAUGUAUGGUCCUGCAAGGUCACUUUGCUACGGACACUUGCAAGCAAUUGUGCUCCAAGGAUAAAUUCUUGUUAAUUAGGAUAUAUUUGAGGAUUUUUUAAACUAGUCAUAUGAUAUCAUAUCUUUAUUAAACCAUAACGAUAUUUGGAUCUUUUUUGGCAUACUAUGAUAAUUAAAUAUGUUGUAUUCAUUUAAAAAACUUAAGUAAAUAACUUAUUUUUAAACGUGUAGUNNNNNNNNNNNNNNNNNNNNNNNNNNNNNNNNNNNNNNNNNNNNNNNNNNNNNNNNNNNNNNNNNNNNNNNNNNNNNNNNNNNNNNNNNNNNNNNNNNNNNNNNNNNNNNNNNNNNNNNNNNNNNNNNNNNNNNNNNNNNNNNNNNNNNNNNNNNNNNNNNNNNNNNNNNNNNNNNNNNNNNNNNNNNNUAUAUAUAUAUAUAUAUAAUUUACAUCCCAUACUAUAAAAAUAAAUUUACUUGCUUCGCCUGAAACGUUUAUAAAAUGAUCUAAUAUCGCUUUAAUUUUUAGACAUUUAGGCUAUGUUUGGCGUAUUAACUGAAAAGCUAGUUGUUAAAUAAAAAGUUAGUUGGUAACUGAAAAGCUAGCUGAUAAAAAAUAACGUUUGGUAAAACCAGCUGAAAUAUAUUAAAUUACAUAAAAUGACAUGUAAGAGUAUGUGCGUAUAUAAUUAAUUAAGGGGUGUAUUUGAAAUUUUUUGAAAAAACUCCUAAAAAGCUAGUCUAAGUGGCUUUUCAAAAAACUAGUUUGUAAGCUACUUUUUGGCUUCCCAAACAUGACAACAUAAAAAAACCCGAAAAAUAAGCUAGCUUAUCAGCUAGCUGUGACGCGCCAAACACAACCUUAGACAAAAUUAACUACUAAUAAUAAAUAAUUAACUCAAGUGACAAUCAAUCUCUAGUCUAAGCCAUCAUAGUCAUAUGUGAAAUCCGACAGCCAAAAAAAUUCAAGAAAGAAAGCAAAAUAACAGAAUACAUUGCAAUUUAAUGGUUUGGAAUAUUUAAAAUAAAUAAAUAAAUAAUGCAUGACACUCCUAUAGCAAAAUGAAGAGCAAAGAUAUUAAAUCCCACAAACGCCCCCAUGGUUCCCGCUUGAACAAACCUGCAACUAAUUCAACAUAAAAAUAGAAAAGGAAAUAAAAAUCAGGAAUGGUCAUUCAUAAACCGAAAAGAAGAAUAUUAUGAUACUAGGUGUAAGACCCAUGUAUUACAUGGGUUCAUUUAAAAAAAAAAUAUGAAAUUCUAAAAUUUUAAGAAGUUUAAAUUUAUAAAAAAAAUUAGAAAAAUAUUGAAUUAUUAAAACUUAAGUGUUUUUUUCCUUUAAAUUUAAACAUAUAAUUUAAAUAAAUAAACAAAGGAGACUAAUGGGGUUUUAAUUUUAAAAAUUUGAAAUUAGAAGAAAAGUCAAUUAUUGAAAUUGAUAUGCAUUUAUUAUUACAUUUAUUGCAAUUAAUGCAUUUAAUCAAUUAUUAUAUGAAAUUUAAUAAAAAUGAAAACAACCACAAAAUGUCAUGUGAAAAAAAAUUUAAUUGAAAAUAACCACAAAAUGACAAGUGGCAAAAUCAAUGAGAGUGUGGCAUGUGGCAAAAUGAUUUUCAUUUAUUACAGUAGAUUAUAAGAAAAGAAUAUUGUAAUUUACUUAAUAAAUUUUGAAAAAAAAAUUACACAUGUUAUGUUAUAAUUUUCCUUAACAUUCAUGAUGUAUUUUUCAUUCAUACGGAAUGAACUAUUCUAUUUCGGUCGUGAUUCGAUCAUACCAAAUAGUAGCUAAAUAUAUUUUGAUAAAUUAAUGUUGCAAAGAAGUGAACACCAGCUUGGAGAUCUUAAAUGUUUACAGGAAGAUAAGAAAUAAAUAGACAAAAUUGUAAAAAUGGUCCCUGUGGUUUGUCAAUUUCUGUGGAUAAGGUUUAAAAAAACGUUUAUUAGCAAAAACGGUCCCUAAUUGAUAGUUUUACUGUGAUUAUGGUCCCUACCUCGUUAAGUUUAACAGCAUGACCGUUAACUUUUGGCAAAUGACAAAUUUACCCCUUGGACUAUUUCUACAGUUUUAUCUUUUUACAUAACUAUAAGGACCAAUUAUGCAAUAUUUCUUUUUUAUUUUAUUGAAUUAUUAAAUAAUUGAAUUAUUUUUUUCUUUUUAAAUUUUUUCUUAUUGUAUUAAUUUUUAUUGGAUUAUUAUAUAUUAAUAAAUCUUAUAUUUAAUAUAUUAUAUUUAUAUAUUAAUAAAUAUUANNNNNNNNNNNNNNNNNNNNNNNNNNNNNNNNNNNNNNNNNNNNNNNNNNNNNNNNNNNNNNNNNNNNNNNNNNNNNNNNNNNNNNNNNNNNNNNNNNNNNNNNNNNNNNNNNNNNNNNNNNNNNNNNNNNNNNNNNNNNNNNNNNNNNNNNNNNNNNNNNNNNNNNNNNNNNNNNNNNNNNNNNNNNNNNNNNNNNNNNNNNNNNNNNNNNNNAUAUUACUUUUUUUUAUUAUUAACUUUUUAAUUGAUUUUUUUUAUUUUCUUCUUUAUUGCAUUAUUUUUUUUAUUGGAUUAUUAUAUAUUAAAAAAUAUUAUUUUUAGCAUAUAAUAUUUAUCUAUUAAUAAGUGUUAUUUUAAUGGAUUAUUAAUUUUAUUUAAUUAAUUUUUUUAUUGCAUUAGUUCUUUUUAUUGAAUUAUUAAUUUAAAUUUAUUAAUUUUAUUUAUAAUAAAUAAUAUUUUUUUGAUUGUUUUUAUUUUUUUUUUAAUUUCUUUCUUUAUUGUUUCAAAUAAAAAUACCAAAAAAUCUCACCCACCCCACAUUCUCUAAUUUAUUUUAAAUAUUUGGAAGAUAAUAUAUUUUGGACAACACCGCUAGGGGUGUUCACGAGGCGGUUCAGAUCGGAUAGUAAAAAAUUAUAAACCAUGACAACGGGGCGGGUACCUUGCUAGCACUAACCGUAACGAACCGAAUUGCUAAAAAAACCGAACCGAACCGAAUCGUAUAAAGGCGGGUAACCACGGUUCGGUUCACGGGUAUCCGUUAAAUAUAAAAAAUAAUAAUCAAUCAAAACUACAAACUCCAUUUUAAACAAUUCUUUUCUAAAAAUAAAAAACUCACAAAAUAAAGAAAAAAAAAUCAGUGCUUGCUAAUAAACCAACUAUUUAAUAUUAUAAAACCAAUAAUUAAUUCUUUGAUAUAUUGAUAUUUAAUAUUUAUUAAUUCUUUUUUUUUUGCAUGUGGCCUCAAACUAAUUCUUUGGUUUUUUCGGAUUCGGGUUGGCCAAAUCUGAGUAUUCACUACUCGGCGGUCGAUCGAACGAGUAUCGAAUAACGAGUACUAUAACUUUGUCACCACCUAUAGUGGCUAUGGUGGUUUGAAAACCAUCGAUCUAACAUUGUCGUCAUCGAUGAUGGUAUCUGUAAUGAAUGGUCGGCUGGAGGAAGUAUGCUUUAUGUGGUUUAUUUUCACAUUGUGUGGGUAGUCAACUGGUGUAGUUUUCUUCAAGAAUGACGACUGUAAUCGAUGAUCGAUGGUUUACAGCGAGAUAAUACGACGACGGAAGGUAGUAAAAUGCAACGAAUUGAGGAGCUGACCCAGAAUGUUUGGUAUUUUUAUUUAAAACAAUAAAGAAACAAAUUAAAAUAAAAUAAAAACAAUUAAAUAAAUAUUAUUUAUUAUAAAUAAAAAUAAUAAAUUUAAAUUAAUAAUCCAAUAAAAAGAACUAAUGCAAUAAAAAAUAUAAAAAAAAUAAUUAAAUGAAAUUAAUAAUCCAAUAAAGUAACACUUACUAAUAGAUAAAUAUUAUAUGCUAAAAAUAAUAUUUGUUAAUAUAUAAUAAUCCAAUAAAAAAGAACUAAUACAAUAAAGAAGAAAUUAAAAAAAACAAUUUAAAAAAUAAUAAUAAUAAAAGUAAUAUUUAUUAAUAUAUAAACAUAAUAUAUUAAAAAUAAUAUUUAUCAAUAUAUAAUAACCAAUCAAAAGAAUUAACGAAAUAGAAAAGUUAAUAAAUAGUUAAUUAAAUUAAUUUAAUAAUAAGAAAAAGUAAAUCUUACUAAUAGAUUAAUAUUAUAUGUUAAAAAUAAUAUUUAUUAUUAGAUAAAAAUCCAAUAAAAAAUUAAUUCAAUAAAGAUGAAAUUAAAAAAAUUGAUAAUAAAAGUAUAUAAUAAAAAAGUAAUAUUUAUUAAUAUAUAAAUAUAAUAUAUUAAAAAUAAUAUUUGUUAAUAUAUAAUAAUCAAGUAAAAAAAAUGAUAUAAUAAGAAAAAAAAAUAAAAAAGAAAAAAGUAAUUAAAGUAAUUAAUAUAUAAUAAUUCAAUAAAAUGAAAAAGUAAAUUUGCAUAAUUGGUCCUUGUAUUUUGGUAAAAAGAUAAAACUGCAUAAAUGGUCCCAAGGGUAAAUCUGUCAUUUCUGAAAAGUUAACAUCCAUGCCAUUAAACUUAACGAGGUUGGGAUCAAAACCGCAACAAAACCAUCAAAUAGGGACCUUUUUUGCUAAUAAACUUUUUUUUGGACCUUACCCACAAAAAUUGACAAACCAUAGGAACCAUUUUUGCAAUUUUGUCAAAUAAAUAUGUACAUCCUAAGUUGGAAUCCCACGAUUAAGGAACCAAGGUUGACCAAGAAUGGCCCUUUGAUUUCCAUCAGUAAAAGACACAACAAUUUUUGUAAAAACACCAAAAAAACAUAUGAGAGUGCCAACGAAAUCGUAGUUUCGAGCUACUAAAUUAUCAAAUUGAAAGUUAGGUAAAAGAGAAAAAUUGGUUUCUUUUAACUUUUAAAUAAUAUAAAUAUUUUUAGUUAAUAUAGAAAAUAUUAACCGGUUGAAUUGAUAAAAUGAUAUUUAUAUGUUAUGCUUUCCUAUAACUUUUUUCAAGCAUGAUUUGCCUUGGUAAACCGCAAAUGAUUUUUUUUUUUUUUUUUUUCUUAAUUUUUUUUAAUUUUUUGGUAAAUUAGUGAGAAAUAGGGAAAAAUAGAAAAUGGACUUACAUAUACUUGAUAUGAUCCAACAACAAUAUGUUUAGAGUUAUCGCAUUGUAGUUGUCGAAACCAUUACUCCAUUAACCUUCACAAGUUUCACAUUUUGAACAAUAGUGCUUUCCUUCUAUAAACGUGUUGCAUACUUGGUAAAAAUUACAAAAUUUUAGAUUAUGUAAUAAUAUAAUAACUGAUAUUGAAGUUACUAAGGCAGUAACUUGUAAGGACAUAAAAUCACUCUCAAUGGCUUAUGGAUUAGUUUUUAAUAUGAAAACUUUGACUUGUAACAUAAAAGAAUAAAUAACAUACAUUAUAUUAUGAAAUUCAAAUUGAAAUGUAACAUAACUUUACAAUAAUAUAAUAGAUGAACUUACAGUUUUAUUUUAAUUUUCCAGAUACAAGGAUGUGUGUUUGCAUAUCAUUACACAAAACUAUUAUUUAUACAUCACUUAAAGACUUAUCAUCCUCAUUCAUAAGCCAACAGGAGAAACAAAGAACGAAAUCAAUUAUUCCCAAAUGAAUAAACAUAUAAAAUUUAAGAAAUAUUUUAUUAAAGGUUUCAUCAUUCAACCUUUUUAACUACAUGUAUCAAUUGUUGUAAAAUCAACAAAAACUCAUUUUGUUAUCCUAAAGGAUGUAAGUAGUCAAGAACAGCUGUAAUGGAUGCAUUUGUAGGAUAUGGUGGUCACUAGUCCUCAUAACAUACUUUGUGUGGCAGCAAUACAAAAAUUUAAAACCCUAAGACACAGUUUGAAAUUGAAUUACACCAUUAACAGAAGAAAUCAUAAAAACCUAUAUCUUUUGAGCAGGAGAAGACAUUUCCAAUAGAAUAAUUAAAUCCCUAAAUUUGGAAAAAUAGAUAGAUGAAAUUAAUGGAUCUUCCUAUCAACCGUAAUUGAUAACCAAAUUUCAAAAUAAUUAAAUCAAAGAAAAUAAGAGCCUUUAGAGCAGACCUUAUCAGACGGUGAUUUCCUAUCAAUCCUACCAUUUUUCAAACCAAUAAUGAAACCCUAUCAGUUAAACAAUAAGAAUGCAUGACCUUUCUAUUAAAACUAUAUUUAAGAACAAUAACAAAAUGGUAUCCAUAUUUUCUAUACAAAUUGAUUAUCAGCAAACCAAAAUACAUAAUCAUUCAAAUCUUCAGAAUUCAAGAAGUAACAGGUAAAACAUUAAUUAAAUCGAACUAAAAGUACAUAAAGAGUACAAUGUUACCCGGACGAAAUGUCAAUGAAAGGAGUUCCAAUUCCACGGUUAAUUAGCUAAAAUUAGUUAACACAGGUCUUGAAAAAUCCAUAUCUGGCUUCAUCUCUCAAUGUCUUCCCAUUUAAGGGUCUGUAACACACACACACACAUAAACACACAUAAAGUUAAACGCAUAAACAUAGAGACCGUUAGAUAGAGGGUAUACACACACACGCAUGUACGCACACACACACAUACACACACACACAGAGACAUCGAUGGUGUGACUAUGGUGUAGAACUGGAUCUACUUAUAAUAAGAUAUCAAAAAUAUUGAUGAGAGAGAGAGAGAGGGUUGAAGAGGAGAAGGAGGCAAUGGAUUGAAAAGAGAUUAUGAGGGCUUAAAAAGAAACAAAAAACUAACCAUUAAGUUUUAGCUUUGACAAAAUCAGAAGUAAAAAAAAAUCCUAGAUUUGCUUCGUGUCCAAGUUUCUUUAGCCAUGUUCUUCACCAGAGAUAGCAGAUGCAGAAACAAAGAAACAUCAAUUUGAGGGUUAGUUUUGGAGGUGGAAAAUGAUGGUCACCAGUGAUGAGGGCGGCAAAUUUGUUGUGGUACACUGACUGUGCGAUNNNNGGGGAGUGAUGAUCGUUUAGUUGUUGGGAGAAAGUGAGUGAUACCGAACAGUGAGAGAGAUGUUAUAUAAAGCGUAGUUGGUGUUGAACGAUUCUUUGGCUGAAAACUAUGAAUAAUAAUUCAAAGUCCCGUAUCAAUCGUUGACUGGAUAGGUUUUACAUUUCCNUAUAUAUAUAUAUAUGGGAAAAUCAUUAGAAAAUGCAUACUAGGGUUACACAUUAAGGAUCCAAUCAACAAGUGACACAUGAAAAUUUCUUUAAUCAUACAUUAUAUACCCUAGACAUUAUUUAAAUUACAAAAAUCAUCCUUAAGAUUUGAUAAAUUUACAUGUUUACCCCUCAAAAUUUCAAACAUUUAACAUGAUCAAGUCACUGCCACUUGGAAACCAUCAAUACCUACAAAGAAAACUUGAUGAAGUCAAAUAUAAAAAUCCAGAAAAUCUACCUUGAAAAUUUAUCAGAAUAAAAUGUGAAGCCUCAAAAAGUGAACCCAUUUUCAGAUCAAACUAGAUAAACUCCAAGCAAAUUCUCGAAAUCAAACCGGAUCAUGAACACCCACACAUAUAAAAGAGCAUCAACAUUAGCAUAUUCUGAAGAUUAGCAUCAAAGUCAGUUACGAAUGUACUUUCCGAUUCUGUAAGAGGAAUCAAGAAAAUCGUUAGUCGUGUAGAACCAAAUUAGAAAAAUCAAAAUAAAAAAAUGCAAAACCUAACCUAAAUCGAUGAAGACAACUUUCCUGAUGAUGAAAUUAAAACCUAAAAUGCAAAAACUUGGGGUCGAUCAAGAUGAUUUUGCAAAUAAUGAAAUCGAUGGAAGACGAUUUUCUAGAUCAAAUAGAUGGAAGACGAUUUUCCAGAUCAAAUCGAUGAAGUCAUGGAGGCGGCUUGUUUGAACCUUGCAGAUGAUGUUGUUGGAAACCACCACUGGCAUCAUCAGAAACCGCCGCCACCGACACUAUUCACAUGGGAAACCACCAAAAAUAAUACACACACAUUAAGGAUAAAUCAAAGAUUCAGUAAAUACCUUAUAUAAGCCAAUGGCAACUAAACAUCUAUACAAAUAAGGUGAAAAGUCAUUUCGUAACUAAUUAAAGAACCACUUGUCUUCCAUUUGAGUAUGAAAUCAGUGAAAUAAUCUACAAAAAACUUACAAACUUGGAACUACAAAAUAAAAUCGAGAGAGAAAUCUUUGUUACCCUCUUCUAAAAUUGAACACCACUACACCAAACUAGGAAGAUAAAGACACGUUCACGCAGGUUUGAAUGACAGAGAACAAACAAUGGUGACAAAAAAGGUAGGGUUUUUUUUAAUAUUGUUGGUAUGAGGUGUUUUGGGGGAGACGGGAGGAAAUGAGAUACGAGAAGAGGUUAGACUGCUGAUGGUACUGAAGAGCCACACAAUCGUAUCUAGCUACUUUUGACUAAAAACAUAUCGAACUAAAAUCCUUAAUUCAUGCAAGAAACCCGAGAUAUCACAUUUCAAAUUUUAUCCUUUGCUUCAAUACACAAAUCAAGGGCUUUAAUCACUUAAUCCAACAUUAUGUACAUCCGAAAAGGGCCUAAACCAUAUUCAUUUGAAGCCCAACACCAUCACUUGAUCAAGUUUUGACCCAACGUCUCGAAAUUAGAAUAUCACUAAAACCAGGUGUUACAAUUCUGCCUCACUUAAACUUUAUUUCGUCUUCAAAAUCUAACUUGGUUAGAAUUCCUAAAAAAUGUACUAACACUAUUCCACAUGCCCCCUCCAAUCGCUUCAUAACAUUAACAAAUGCAAAUUGAAAACUCAAUAGACCAUGCAGAACCCAACUAAUGCCAAUAACAAUCCAAACACUUGAAAACAUCAAUUACAACAACCAUUUCCCUCUCCCCCAACGAUACAAUCCCACUUAUAGCGAACUACUCAAACCAGGAAAGUCUCAAAGCUAUGACCGAACUGACUUAUGCUUCAUAGAAUCAGGAAUCCACCAACCUAAAAUUUCUAGGGGCAAACAUAUUGGUUGAUGAUCAUCCACUCAUCAUACUUAUCCCAAGUUUCUGACUAGGAACACCACCAAACUGAGUAUAACAAUACUCAAAAUAUUUCGAUCAAGAAUUUUAACUCAACCUAAGAUCAAAAACCGCCUAAAAGUUCUCAGAUACACACUUGACUUCCUGCCAAGUCAUCACCAAGCUCCCACGAGUAUAUCAGUGGUCAAUUCGAAAGAAAAUCUUGGGCAACAUACAUACUCCCAAGCACUCGGGGGUACAAUUUAACUAAAAAAAAUUCAUCUAGGAUUCCUACAAUGAACUUGUCCACUGGAAAAUCAACUCAUUUGAUACCAAUCUUGCAACAACAAAUAAAGAUCCACUAAGGAACUCCACGAGGAACUGCCGAUAAACAACCAUGACUUUUCCAACGAGUCAAAAUCCUACCAAAACCCAACCUAUACUUGUCGACUACUGAGUCAUCAAAAAUAUUCCCAUACUGUUUAAAAUACCCAAUUAUGACAAAGACCAACCGGAUUAGACCAUGCGGAUCUCCAUGACAUAACUACCAACCCAGCACGUAAGUGACAUCCAUGAGGGUCCAUGACACGUCGUGACACUAUCCAACCAUUGGAAUGAGAAUCUCAUGGUUCCUCACCGUUCUUUCCAUCAUCCAAUCUCAGCUAUGAAGAUUCUCAACUAGCACCCGGUGGGCCUAUAGACAUAGAGCCAUCAUCCCACCGACCUGCAUGAAUCUAGUCAACAUCCCACUUAACACUUACCAAAACCACAGGAGCCAUACCAUACUUAAAUAUGAAACCCUUCCACAGUCUCACAACCAUUCAUUGUACAACCUAACUCACAUUAUAGAAUGCUACGAACCAAGUCGUAGACUUACCACACUUCCACAACCGUCUGCCAACCUAGUGAAUGCUACGACUACCCUACAAUCUUAAAACACUUCCAUAACUGUCAUGAUCCUAACUCAUGGUCUUGCCAACUGCCCAUAAGAAUACCUAACCAAAGAUCAACACGAGUCGAACCCUUAGCCCAUUAAAGCCUAUCAGGCAUUCAGGUCGUGCUUCAAACCCCAAAGCCUUCAUCAGACAAGAACAUGCAGAGAGUUCCUAACAUAAUCCUCAACCUGAACCUAGCCACAUAUCCAAAAUGUGACCCUACCUCUGCUUCACGUCCUAAAACGAGAUAAAAUGAAUCCUUUACCUUUUAUUCCUUGAUUACAACAGAUCGAUGAACACUAUUUCUUGUGUGAUCCUCGGCUCAAACCAUAACUAGAAACCAUCUAUCCUCUUGUCCCGAGAUACGAAACUCCAAGUUGAUCGACACUUGAAAAUAUUUUUGAUAUUCCCAAGCGGUUCUCCCCCACUUGGGAUCAAUCACUCCCUAACGACUUCAAGAAUUCCACUAUAUGUCCACAAUCCAUAAUGACAACACCCUAAUAUUUCCAGCUUGUAAUCACAAUUCAUAUUAAUAAACAUUCCAACUAUAAAACCUUCUCAAAGUAAUAUCCUAAUCUUAAAUAAUCGAAUAAAUCCUACAAUUUCUCAACUUAUUGAACCAAACUUCCAGUUUGAAGGAAAACUCCAUAAUUAACCUGAAUGCUAACAGAACCAAGAUCGGAUUGAAUCCUUUCCAAUCCUAUUGGCAUGACCCACCAAAAUUAUAUUUCAUGUAGAUCUGAGGCCCUUCCAAAAAAAUGUUGCUCCGACACCCUAACCAUGGGUCCAAAAUAUCCAUUGCUCCACACUUGAAGAAAGAUCGAUGCACCCACAACAUCGUCAAAUGAUACCACUCAACAAAUCUUGAACAAUAUCAACAACUAAACAAAACCCAAGCGAAAGUGCAUCCAUCACUCCCUGAAGUAGGUUGAUAAAUCAAUAAUAGCUCUACCCUUACUAAUGAUAGCGAUCAGUUCAACGAGCUAACCAAACCUUCAAUUGGUAUUCAACAUGAGCGGCACACACUCCUCUUAACUGUAUUUUGUUGUCCAAGAAGGGACAAUCAACUACAUCGAGUUCUUUGUCUUGAAGCUUUCGAUGCAAGGACCACACACACAACCCUGAAAGCAUGAAUCUAACAACAACUCAACCUGCAUCCAUGUUCUGAUCAAUACCUAAAUCCUCACCACCAUAAAAGAUCUCAACAAUCUUGAAUACUAGAUAUCCAACAAACUUACACUACAAAUUCCUCCGACCCGUUGUGCUGGAACCAUCAAAAUCAACUUGGCAGUUGAUCCUUCAAGCAGAAUACUUAGUCCUCCCCCACUCAGGGCUUACUCCCUCAUUAGCCGACUUCUUCCACGUCGAAGCCUAAAACCGGUUCUUCCAAAUACCCUAUAAACACGGAUCUCGGUAUGCAAAAUGGCAUAUGGAAAUUCUUUGAAUGAUAACAAAAAAACACAAAAAAAUCUUGAGCCUUAGAUGGAGACAUCAUAAACUUUCCCAACAUUACAACUUCCAACCCUUCAAGAACGAUCCAUACACCUUUUGAUUUACGAAGCAUUCCAAAGGCUGAAUCCCUGAUCUAAUAAAACCUAAAUAUGCUAAAAUAGUAGUUCUAAUAUACUAACUAUACGAAUGACUAUCCAUUUACAUGUCCAUUCUAAAUAAAACUGAAGAUCAAAAUUCACAUCCGUGAUUUCUUGCGAAUCAACCUUCACUUCCUGUCGGACGAUAGGUGUUGGGCAUUGUACUCUCUUCGCUACCCAUACAGAACAACCGAGUUUGAGAUGACCCGGCUGGUGACAGUGAAAACACGUCCGACCCUUCUUGCAAUCAGGGACGAUAUGCCAUUUCUUUCCAUACUUGUAGCAUUUGAACUUGUGGCAAGUAAACCUGUGGGAUCCCCCACACUUGCUGCAAAUCUCAAAGUCCCCUCUACUUCCAGUACCUAUGUUAGCAACGUCGAACUCUUCGCUCACCACUGAAAAUGUUGAAUCACGUGUCAACUUUCUCUUCUCUUGACACACUCCCACGUCAAGAUCUUUCCCCCUAGUCGCCUCAACAAUCUCUUCCACAUUCUGAAUGGCUGUAGAGAACCUAAGAAUUAGUCUUAUAGUUAUUCGUCCAAUGAUACCAGAAAAUUCUUCCAGUAAAAUCUGUGAAACCUCAUUGGUAAUCCAAUCGCGUAGUCCUGCGUUGUCCACAUUAAUCUCGGAGGACUUUGCUCUGAGUCUAGGCACCAAAAUCCUAUUAAACAAGACCAAGAUCUAUACUCAAAUCAAGGAAAAUCACAGGGAAUCUAAGAAGCCGUUAGGGUAUUGAUGUGUGGUUUUCUGUAUAUCGGGUAAAAUGUGAUGGAUCCCCACCUCAUCCCGCCAUCAGCUGCUAAAAGGCCCCAACAGUUGGACUCAGACAAUAGCUGCACAAUAGGGCCGAAUCAAUUAUUCUGAAACUAUUUAACCUUUGUAGCAUGUAACUUAAUGUAUUCAUUUAAUAUUUAACUCACAUAAAUAUUAACCCUACAAAGCACAAAGCAAGCACCAUUCGAGCAGAAGAACUCUACAUGCAACAAGGCAUCUUCCCUAAUAGGAAUCUCUCCUAAUAUGCAUUCUAUCAUGCAAUCCUGAGCAGAUCUUUAUUCUAACUUUUAGCAUGCAUUUCUAACAUAUCACCAAUACACAUAAAACAAGUGUGGGUAUCUUGGGGAAUAAAUUUCUUUGAUCUCCGGCUGAUUGUACACAUCACAUCCUCUCCUUUAGUUAUUUUAAAGUUAAUGAUGAAAAAUAUUUUGCGGAUCCAUAGUUUGAGUUUGGAAUCACACAAGUAUUCAUCCAAUUCUCUCAAACCAUGGCUCUGAUACCAACUUGUAACAUCCCAAAAACCAUUCCAAAGUUUUUCAUUUUUAUUAAAAACAUUUUCAUACACUACCAAAUAAUCAAUCAUUGUUUUCAAAUUAAAUCCAUAGAGCAAGAGUAUCAAAUAAUAUCUUAAGUAUAAAUCAGCAGGAGGAUGUGUACGAUCACAAAUUCGAUUCCUCUCAAUCACCAUUGGUACCUGAAAAAUAAAUUACAAACAACUAGGUAAGCAUGAAGCUUAGUGCGUUCCCCAAAACACCCCACACAUUAAUACAUAAACAAUACAUGCAUACCGGACCCACAAUAUAAAAAUGGAUUGCCCCUAGGCCCAUAAUCUCCCGACUGGAUUGCCCCUGGCCUACAGUCUCCUGAUUGGAUUGACCUUGGCUCACAGUCUCCCGUCUGGAUUACCCCCGAGUUUAUUGGUAUACAACACAAAGCAGUACUACCUUAACCCAACCAUACUAUCUCGACAUAUGCAAACAGAUAAACAAUAACUAGCAAUAUAGGUAAUCAUACAGAUAUACCAAUAUAACAUGCCACUAUAGCAUAGAAACAUCCUAUACACAAGGAUACAUAACAUAAUCUAAUGGGCCAAAAUCGGUGCCUUCGACCCACGAGUAUAAUGACAAACUCACCUCAAUUCUGAAGACAAGAUAAACCACCCAUUCAAGCCGAUAAUAUCAAGCCUCCUCUUGCUAAACCACAAUAAAAACCUAAUUAAAAAUCAAGGAAAUGACUGGCCCACGAAGGUCUAAGCUCAUAAUUAAAUCUCCUUUGGGCAAAAGACCAUUUUGCCCUUCUAAUAUUAAGUCCAAAAGUCAAACCGGCCAGAAAGUUAAUGAUCAACCCUCAGUUGACUUACACCCUGCGUAACUAAUCUACACCCUGCAUAGAGCUACGACAUGCGUACCUAGAUUAUGCCCUGUGUAGUGCCCCUGAUCCCAAAAAAUUCUAUUAAGCUCUUAAUACAGCAAGCCAAACUCUCAAUCCCCCAUAUCUAAUCUAAAUGAAUGUCUUAAUGGAUAAAGGCUCUAACUUUAUCCAUUGUAUCGUAACAAAGAGCACAAUACCAAAGCCUAGGUCCAUAAAGUUAUCUAUAGCUCAAGAAUUCAUGCAUGGAUAAAUGAGAGUGCCCAAGCUCUCAUUUUUUUGACUCAAUAUACUCAAAACAUCAUAAGGAGGCACUCAAAUGGUCUAGAGUAACCCAUACUCACAAGAACCAAGAUUAAGGGACAAAAAACAUAAAACCCAUGAACUAAUUAGAUCUAACAAAUGGAACAUCAAGAUGCAAGCUUUAUACCUUCUGGAGAAGGGUGAUGAAGUGCAAAUUCCGGAUCUACAAAGCUUAGAGCUCACACUUGAUUAUCCAAUGGACUCCUUCUUUAGGAAUGCACCUAAAAAUCACACUAAUGCUUUCAAAACUCACAAUUGGUGGCUAUGGUUUCAAAGGAACGGUUUGAGGUGAUGGAGGUUGGUAAUGUGAAGGGUUCCAAGAAGUUAGAUCCCUUAAAUAGGGACCAAAACCUUAGGCUUAGGGUUUUGGUCAGAAUCAACUACGCGAGGUGUAGCUUAAUUUACACCGUGCAUAACUCAUUAAAAUCGCGAUUUGAUUUCAGCAUCUACGCCGUGCGUAGGGCAAAAAACCCCAACUUCCAAUUCAACUUCAAACAACCAUAAUUUGUUCCUUUCAACUCAGUUUUUGGUAUUCUUUAUAUGCAUAGAAAGAUAUUCUAGAGCCCCACAACCUUGUCUAGUUACUUUUGACUAAAAACAUAUCGAAAUAAAAUCAUUAAUUCAUGCAAGAAACCCGAGAUAUCACCAUUCAAAAUUUACCCUUUGAUUCAAAGCAUAAAUCGAGAGUUUUAAUCACUUAAUCCAACAUUACCAACAUUCGAAAAGGGCCUAAACCCUAUUCCUUUGAAGCCCAACACCAUCACUUGAUCAAAUUCCGGCUUAAUGUCUCGAAAUUAGAACAUCACUAAAACCAGGUGUUACAGACUGGAUUAUAAGUGAUGGUAAACUAAGUUUGCUUGGAUAUACCAAAAUUUUGCUUUUUGCUGGGUAACUUGAUGAAAUUUAAAAAUAAAUAAUAAUUUUCAUGUUGCUUCUUAAUCUUAUAAUAUAAAUAAGACAAUAUUAUUAACUUUUGUUAUGAGCAUUUUUAAUGUUGUAAUCUCUUUUAAUAAUUAAAAAUUUUCAUUUCAGGUUGCAAUGGAAACUCUUCCUCUAUAGUUGGUUCACUCUCAGUGAUCUGUUUUGUUUAUACAAUGCAAGUUUUCAUGAGUCAGGAUUUGAUUGGAUCCUUAUUUUCCCUUCUUAAAUCCAUCUCACGAUGGAAGUCUAAAGUUGCUACACAUUCAUCUCCAUCGAAUCCCACCAAAAAGCAAGACAAAUCUGGAUAUACUUACUGGUUAUAGUGUUUGUUGUGAUUUACAGGUAUUUGGUACCCUAGAUUCUUUCUCGCAAUGUCCAAAAAGGAUAAAGUGGUGCAACUUAUAAAAAAGAUAAAGAGGUGCAACUUAUUUGUCUUUUGUUGUAUCUAAUUAAACUUAUUUGUAAAUUUAGUAAUUUAACAAUCGAAAGUGUGUAAUUAUAUUUUAAUCAAACACCUUUUAUCCCACGCAAUGCGUGGGAUACCCUUGUAGUUUAUACUAAUAUUAUGAGGCCUACAUGUGAGUACUAACAAUAUAAGAAACAAAGUGGACCAAAAAAAUAUAUGUUAAGGGAAAUAACAUAAAAGAAAAUAAGUUUUAUAAAAUUUUAAUUUUAACAUCUCAUCAUAUUUUUUAAUAAUUAAGACAUCAAGUUUUCACAAAGUUUAAUAUAAGAUAUUAUAUUUUUGAAUUUGUUUCAAUGUUGACCAUUUGUCCAGUCAAUCAAGUUGUUAAGUGAUAUGACAUGGUGAUGUAUCAAUAUUUGAUGAUGUGACACUGACAUACAUGAUGACGUGACCCUUUUUUGGUGACAUCACUUUUAGGGUGUAAAAAUUGAAAAAUAAAAUAAAUGUAGUGACUUAAUUGAAAAUAAAACACAAUGUCAAAAUUGAACUUUUUUUAACACUUAGUGUUUUUUUUGUGUAAUUUACCCUUAUUAUAACUAAAUAAUUAGGAUUUGUUGGAGUUGUUGGAAACCCUAUGUAGGCAAGCUUUUGAAACAAAACAACAAAAUAAAAUUGACACCUAUAGAUGCGGUGCUCCAUGCUAUUUGUUUGUAUUCCAAUCUCCAUCUCCUGAAUUUUCCUCGAUAAUUUCUUGUUUUUAAUUUGCCAUUAAUCUUUAAUCUACCAUGAAGCCCAUAAAUAAUCUAUCUACCUUAUUGUAUUUAUGUUUUAUUGGCAUAAUUGUCAAGCUUCUAGUCAGAANNNNNNNNNNNNNNNNNNNNNNNNNNNNNNNNNGGGGGUAAAUACCCUUUGUAGGACUUAUUGGAGGGGUUGGAGACCCUUUGUAGGCAUGAUUUUGGAGCAAAACAAAAUAAAAGACUAUAUGGUUUCGAGCGGUGGAUUUCGUAAGAAGAUGAAUAUUAAGACAAGAAGUUCUCGUGACCACCAUUUUGAGGCUACAAAAUCUAGGCAUUAAUUGAUAUCAUAAAUCUGUAACGAACGAAUAAUCAAAACAUUUUAUUUCGAAAAGAAUGUGAUUACCAAACCAUGAUAGCUGAUGAACAACAAACUAGAACUCGUUCAUACCUAUACGUGCAUCCAUGGAGAAAGACACAUAAAUAUAAUUACACAACGAUGAUUAUUCGAAAUAAAAAACCAUCAACAUCAAAUAGAACGAUUUUGUCAAAUUAAACGUCUUAACAUCACCAACGGGACCCAUCUUUAAAUUAAAGAUCAAAACCCAACACAGAAGAACAUUGAAACAUAAAAUGAGUGAAUAGAUCAUGAGUCCUAAUUAUUAAGUUAUAAUAAGGGAAAAUUGCACAUAAAACACAAAGUGUUCAUAAAAGUUCAAUUAUGACACUAUGUUUUGUUUUCAAUUAAGUUGCUACUUUUAUUUUCAAUUUUGACACCCAUAAUUUCAUAUCGCCAAAAAGUGUCAUGUCAUCAUGCAAUGUCAAGUGUCACGUCAUCAAAGAAUGGCACGUCAUCAUGCUACGUUAGUUGGCAAUUGGAUUGACUUAUUAAAUCGUCAACAUUGAAACAAAUUGAAAAAUAUAGUGUUUUUUUAUCAAACUUUAUGAAAAUUUAAUGUCUUAAUUGUAAAAAAGCCAUGGUUUCAAAAUCGAGAUUUUAUGAAACUUAAUGUAUUUUAUGCUAUUUGCCCUUUACAAUAUAUUAAAAUUUAAAAAUAGUAUUUUGGAAAAAUAAAUUCAUUGCCAUUCUGAUUUACAUUUUGAUUUCUAUCGUCGUAUUUAACAAAAAAGUAAGUAUUAAAUACAUUAGAUUAAUAAUUAUAAAGUGAUAGUAUUAAGGAGUUAUAAUUUUUUACAUCCAAAUUAUAUUAACAAAUUUACAGGGUUGUAAAUUGAAGAAUUUGUGUUAAAAAAUAAGUUGAAAAGUCAUAAUUUUUUUUAAUAAUUAUGGUCGAAAUUACAUGAUAUUUAUUAUAAUAGAUAUCUGUCAUCAUACUAUACUAUAAAGGAAACAUUUUUCCUUUCACCACAUUCAUUUGAAACUUUCAUGCAUUUUUCUUUCACCUCAUUCACUUGAAACUCCCAUUACUUUUCAAUUUCUUUCUAAUAAUGAUUAUAAGUUGGUUAAUAAGGUUAAAUAAAUAUCGAACCUAAAGUGUAAUUAUAUAUAAACUAAAUUUCAAUAUUAAAAAAUAUCUUUAAUUCUACAUAUAAAGUUAUGUUUUUUAGCUUUUUGAUGGUUUUUUUAUGCAUAAGAACAAUCCUAUGUACUCAUACAAACCCUAAUGCUUGGAUUGUAACGCCCAAAUUCUGGUAUGCUAUUUAAUUAUGUUUUAGUCAAAUAGUUUUUUAAAAGGAACUCGGCGAGUCAGUAGCCCAACUCGUCGAGUAGAGACGGGUUCCCGAGCACGUGUAGUUAGGCGACUCGACGAGUCCAUAUUCAGGACUCGGCGAGUCCGCCAGUCUGGAAGAAACCCUAAAUCCGCGGGUUUGUACCCUAUUUAAACAACUUUUAGGGCAUCCAUUAGCCCCCUCACCCACAUAAAAGCCUCACAUGAAAACCCUAGCCUCCCUUAUCAUUUUGGUGUGAUUUUUCCUCACUUUGUGAAGUUGUGAUUCAUUGGUGAAUUAGAAGAAGACAAGAGAAGAGGAGGAAUCAAGGAAGAAGCAAGUAGAUCUGAGUUCUUGGUGGUAUCACAGUCUUUAUUGAGGUAUUAGCCCCAAACCCUUAUUCUUCUUCAAGUAGAUCUCAUAAGUAGCUUGUUUUUGCCAUUUUGGCUUAAUAGUGUUAUGGAGACCAGGUGGUGUCGAAUAGCCUUCGGAUCUACCAAGAUUGGAGCUCUAGAAGCUCAGAUCUAUUGCUUUUAUGGAACCAUUUUGCAUGAGGACCCUAGAUCUACCCCUUUUAGUGCAUUUUGAGCCUUUAAACCUUUAUGGAUGCUUAUGUACACGUAAAGUUGGAAACUUUACGUGUCAAUCAAGCCUUAGGAACCCAUAUCUAUAAGUUGGAUGCACUGGAUUCGAGCAUAAUCGACUGUAUAGAAGUUUCAUGCAACCGACUUGGCGAGUCGUUCUUCGGAAUCGGCGAGUCGAGUCGCGAGUCCCUGAUGUUUCUUUUUGUGAGUUAUGCCGAGUGGAACCAGUGGGUUGUAGAUGGACUCAGAGAGUCGGAGAUCAGACUCAUUCAUGGAGGGACUCGGCGAGUCAAUGCCCUAACUCGGCGAGUCUAAGACAAUCUUCAUAUCUCAAGAACAGACUCGGCGAGUUGUUCAUACAACUCGGCAAGUCAUAGUCAAAUUGUUCAUCUGAUAAAGGAGAACUCGACGAGUUGUUCAUACAACUCGGCGAGUCAGAUGCAGAUUGACUGAAUGUUAGUAUCGAAGAGGAACUCGUCGAGUCUAUGUCAAACUCGACGAGUAGUAGCGGGCAAGAUUGAGAGAUGAGAAUAGGGAAUCGACGAGUUGGCGGCCCAACUCGACGAGUCAGGUCAAUUGUAUGUUGACUUAGACAGAGGAUUGAAUUUGACUUGGGGUAAAAUGGUCAUUUUACCCUCAGUAUGGUUAUCAGUAUUUGAUUGAGUGUACUUAUAGAAAUUGUACCCGGGGUGAAACUGGAGCCGCAGCAGACAGAUUCCAGAGCAGUUCAUUCAACAGCUAGACUACGAGGUGAGUCUUCCUUCCAGUAGGAACGGGUCUACGACCACAAUGUCGGCCUGUUAGUUAGCAGUAGUUCUGGACCUUGGUCCGAUGCAGUAGUUAGAUUGCUUGAUGUCUUUGUGAUUCAAGUAUGUUGUGUAUUAUGUGUUCCGGACUUCGAUCCGAUGCAGUAUGUAGUAUAUGUGCUUAUGCCAGUUGAUAUGUUUAUGUUAUGCCAUGUUAUGCUCAGUCAGUUUCCGGACUUCGGUCCGAUGCAGGGGACAAGGUCCCAGUCAGUUUUGGUUUUCGGUCCGAUGCAGUUAGUUCCGGACUUUGGUCAGAUGCAGGGUACAAGGUCCUAGUUAGUUCCGGACUUCGGUCCGAUGCAGUUUCCAGGCUUCGGUCUGAUGCAGUGGGCAGGGCCCUGGUUAGUUCCGCACUUCGGUCCGAUGCAGUGGGCAAGGCCCAGUAUGUGUUUAUAUGUUAUUGUAUGGUAUGUGGUAGUUUGGGGGAGCUCACUAAGCUUCAUGCUUACAGUUUCAGCUUUGAUUUCAGGUACUUCCACAAGUAAAGGGAAGAGCUCGGGAUGAUGGCAUCGCACACACCACAACUUCAGUUUUUGUCCUGGGAGUCGAUUAGCUUUUCAUUGACAUGAUUCGAUACAAUCUUGAUACAGUUUUCUUGUGAUACUUUGUUAUGGUUUUGGAUACAUUGAUGUAUGGGUUUUAUUUUAUGGUAUUGAUCUAAUGAUUUUAGUAAUGAUUAAACAAAAAAUUUUGGGUCGUAUUUUGGGAUGUUACAUGGAUCUAGGUUUCUCUAUUGAACAUGCAAUGAAUCCAAGACUUGCAAACCCUAAUCUAGCAUACAUAAUUUCGAAAUUAGCUAAUUACAUCAGAUCUAGAUGUUUACUUCUUCAAAUAGCGGCUUGAAUAUUCUUUUCUUGAGCUUAGAGUCACAAGUGUAACUCCUCUAAUGGCUUACAAACACCACAAGCAAGAAGGCAACUUUGAGAGAGGAGGGAGGAUGCUAAUUUUCGGCCCUAGGGUUUCUCUUGGAAUCAAGUGGCCGGAAAUUGAAGGCUAGGGGCCUUAUUUAUACUGUAGGCUGCUAGGGUUUCAGUCUAAACUCUAAUGGACAGCUUAGUCACCAAAGAACCCAAGGAACCUUCUGGAAUAAGGCCUUGGAUGAAAAUAUGAUGAUCCUUCAUCAUAAUUUCGUUCCCCCUUAGUCCAUUAGGUUUCCUAGCCCGAAACACAACUAUCUCACAUUUGACAGUUUAUGCCCCUUUAUUUAAUUAAUCUCCUUUAGCCACCAAAUUAAUUCCUAAUUAAUUUAUGACUAAUACUAACUAAAUAAAUAUGAUUUCUCCUUUAAUAUAUUAUUCUUAUAAUAUAUUAAUAAAUCAUAUUAUCCUCUCUUUCUCUCUCAUCAAGUUACCCUGUCAAGUUGCUUUGGUGAAGACAACCCAAAAGGACCAUGCACAACCCGGUCAAGUACAUACCAAAUAUAGUUACGGGCUUAGACACUAAUCCAACAGUCUCUCACUUGGAUAAGUGUAAUAAAUACAUCUCGCAUACGACUUCAAAAUCCGGUUUAGCAAUCGUAGCUCUUAUACGCUGCUGUCAACUCUAAUCAAAAUCUUGUCCUUUAGAUAAGGGAUCAUUUAAUCCUCUAUUCUAGAUAUCAUGCUGACAAUCACAUGGAACAUAGUCAUACUUAUUGUUCAGCAUAUUGUUCCUCGAUCUAUGAUUUGUUUGACAUAGAACUUAGUUGAACACAUCAACUUUGUCCUGACCGGGCCCGACACAUAAGUCAAACCAAAUCAUCAAGUGGCCAGACAUCACUUUUAUCCUCUUAGAAUAAAAGGAACAGACAAACUUCGACUUAUAUGCUUUUAUUAUUCACUGGCUAAAUCAUACACAACAAUGUGUUUUAUAACAUCAAGUUACUGAUGCGUUUACGCAUUGUCAAUGAACAACUAACCAAUAGACAAUAACCAUAUCUCUAGGUUUAAAGAUUAUAUGAGAUUAUCGUCUUGCGAUCACUCGUGAUAAAUUUCAUGAAGUGAUACAAGCAAGUGCGGGUUUAUUCCAAUGCUCAAAUCACAAUUCAUAAGCACUCUUGAACUUUGCAGCAAACCUUUGCCAUGUCCAAAACCUUUUAGACAAUCUUCAAACAAAUUCAUGAUAGUCUUCUUUCAUAUCUACUUCCAACAUAUGAACGACUGUGGACUGUUUGAAUAAUCUUAUCAUUCAGGAAGUCAAAACAUGCAAAAUUGAAACAAUAGAUAAAUAAUCAACACAAGAUAGUAUCUUUACUUAUAAAUAACACACCUUUAUUUAUUCAUCAAAUGUCAAGUACAAAUUUAUCCAUUACACGUUUCCUAUCUAAUCUAAACUUAUCGUCCUUCAGCCCAAUGCUCCUAGCGUGCUGCAAGUGCUUAACCCUACUCAGUCCCUUCGUAAGGGGAUCUGUUGGGUUAUCUUUUGACGAUACCCUCUUCACUACGAGGAGUCCCUCUUCUACCCGAUGUCUAAUGAAAUGGUAUUUUCUGUCGAUAUGUCUGGAUCUGCCGUGAUCCCUUGGUUCCUUGGUUAAGGCAACCGCUCCUUCAUUAUCAUAGAAAAUCUCCAUGGGCUCCUUUAUGGAUGGCACAACUCCAAGGUCUUCAAUGAAGUUCUUCAAGCAUAUUGCCUCUUUCGACGCUUCACUUGCUGCAAUGUACUCUGAUUCACACGUUGAAUCAGCCACAGUCUCCUUCUUGGAACUUUUCCAAGUCACUGCUCCUCCGUUAAGGGUAAAGACCCAGCCUGAAUGCGAAUGGUAAUUAUCCCGAUCCGUCUGGAAACUAGCAUCACUGUACCCUCGUACCCUCAAGUCAUCACUCCCACCGAGGACUAGAAACCAUUCCUUGGUCCUCUGAAGGUACUUAAGAAUAUUCUUGACAACAAUCCAAUGCGCUUUACCAGGGUUCCCUUGAUAUUUGCUGACCAUGCUCAAAGCGAAGGCCACAUCAGGGCGAGUACAAGUCAUAGCGUACAUGAUAGAGCUAACUGCAGAAGUGUAAGGUACUCGGCUCAUAUCAGCUAUUUCUGCCUCUGUACUCAGGCAUUGGGUCUUACUCAACUUGGUAUUACUUUGGAUUGGCAACUCCCUUUUCUUGGAAUUUCCAUACUAAAACGCUUUAGUACCUUACCCUUAUCCAAGUAUGUAUCCUGACUGAGUCCUAUCAGUAUUUUACUUAUGUUUCUUACUAUCCUUAUUCCCAGUAUAUAUGCAGCCUCUCCGAGGUCCUUCAUAGAGAUACACUUCCCAAGCCAGGACUUGACCUCCUGCAAGGUCGGGACGUUGUUUCCUAUGAGCAGUAUGUCAUCGACAUACAAUACGAGGAAGCUUACUGAACUCCCACUGGCCUUGACAUACACACAUGACUCAUCUUCGCUUUGCAGAAAGCCAAACUCUUUGACCUUCUCGUCAAAACAAAGAUUCCAUCUGCGAGACGCUUGCCUUAUUCCAUAAAUGGAUUUCUCAACCUUACACACUCUAUUUGGAUGCUUCGCAUCGACAAAACCCUCUGGCUGAUUCAUGUAAACAUCCUCAACCAACUUUCCAUUAAGAAAAGCGGUUUUCACGUCCAUCUGCCAUAUUUCAUAAUCAUGAAAUGCAACUAUUGCGAGCAUCACCCUAAUAUACUUUAUCUUAGCAACCGGUGAAAAGGUCUCAUCAUAGUCAACUCCAGGAGUUUGAGUAAAGCCCUUUGCAACCAAUCACGCUUUAUAAGUGUGCACAUUCCCAUCCAUGUCUGUCUUCUUCUUGAAGAUCCAUUUUCACCCGACUGUCUUACGACUCGGCACAUUAUCAACCAAAUUCCAAACUUGGCUGUCGUACAUGGAUUGAAUCUCGCUGUCCAUUGCCUCCUUCCAUUUAGCAAACUCUGGGCCUGCCAUGGCUUCCUUGUAGCUGCUAGGUUCGUCCAAGUUUACUAGUGUACUAUCACUAAUAAAUGUAUCCCCUUUAGUAGUAAUAUGGAAUCCAUAUAACUGGGGUGGAGCACUAGCCCUACUGGAACAUCUAAGAGGUAAGGACUCGUCAACAGGUUCAACAUGAGUUUCCUCCUCAGGUUGAUUGCCAGUAUUAGAGGUUCCUUCAUCGCUUUGUUCUUGAAUCUCUUCAAGAUCAAUUUUCCUCCCACUGUCCUCUUGGCUUAUGAGUUCUCUUUCUCGGAAAACCCUUCUCCUCGCAACGAAGACAACAUUGUCACUCGAUCUGUAGAAGAGAUAGCCAAAGGACUUCUGUAACACUUCUCACUACGAGGUUCGAGCUUGUCGUGAGUUUCUCGUCUUAUGAAAGCCUCGCAACCCCAAAACUUGAUAUGUGCGAAUGAGGGAGCUUUCCCUGUCCACAUUUCGUGAGGUGUUUUGGUAACCUUCUUGGUGGGAACUAAAUUAAGGAUAUGGGCGACCGUCUCUAAGGCGUACCCCCAAAAAGCUAUUGGUAAUGAAGCCCGACUCAUCAUAGAACGAACCAUGUCCAACAAGGUCCGAUUACGUCUCUCAGCCACACCAUUCAAUUGUGGCAUUCUUGGAGGCGUCAAUUGCAAAACGAUUCCGCAUUCCUUUAUAUAGUCGUGAAACUCAAGACUUAGGUAAUCUCCUCCUCGGUCUGACCAAAGCAUCUUGAUUUUCCUGCCCAGCUGAUUUUCCACUUCAUUCUUAAAAUCUUUGAACUUUUCAAAGGUUUCUGAUUUUUUGCUUGAUUAAGUAGAUAUAUCCAUAUCUGCUAUAAUCAUCCGUAAAAGUCACGUAGAAAUGGCAAGCAUCCUUUGUGGUGGAUCUAAAGGGCCUACACACAUCAAUGUGUAUGAGAUCCAAUAGACCCUUACCCCUAUCACAAGUGUCAGUAAAGGGUGACUUGAUCAUCUUCCCAAGCAAACAAGAUUCACACACGUCAUCAUCCCUAAGGUCGAAUGACUCCAACACUCCAUCCUUUUGGAGUUGGGCUAUGCGUUUCUUGUUCACAUGGCCAAGGCGACAAUGCCACAAGCAUGAUUUGUAUAAACUAUUAGACAAAUCAACAUUCAACACAUCAUUUCCUAAAUUGUCUACAGCCAACACAGAUUCAUAUAUUCCAUUACAAGGAAAUGCAUUGAAAAAAAAACACCAUUCAAAUAAAAAAUAAUAGAACCAUUACUAUUUUCAAUUGAGUAUCUGAAACCUUGUCUAUAUAAUCCAUGAAAAGAAAUGAUGUUUCUUGCCAUAUCUGGCGAAUAGCAACAAUUAUUUAAAUCUAAUCCUAACCCAUUACUCAACACUAAAUAAUAAACUCCGACUUUGGUCACAGGCGACGAUCUUCCGUUUCCCAUAAUCAAGUUUAUCUUCCCAUGUUCCACCUCCUUACUUCUUCUUAGGCCUCGCAAAUCAGAACAAAUGUGGAAACCACAUCCUGUAUCAAGAACCCAUGAAGUAGCAAGUGAUGAGUUGGUAGAUUUAAUAGAAUACAUACCUGCAUAGGUGGGCUUUAUCUUCCCAUCUCUAAUGUCCUGCAGAUAUUUGGGGCACCUUCAUUUCCAGUGGCCCUUCUCGUGGCAAUAAAAACACUCUGCUUGUUUAGGGUCAGAGGAGGGUUUAGCAGGACCUGCUUUGGUUCCGCUAGAAGAGGAACCAUCUUGGGACUUUCCUUUUUGGUGACUCUUAGACGGAGCCUUCCACUUCUUACCUCUUCCUUGCCCUAUUGCCAACACAGGGGCCAAAUCAGUAGGAGUUGAUGCAAUAGAUUUAUCCUUUAGGUUGCACUAAACAGUUCUCAACAACCCUUGAAGCUUGCUCAAGGUGACCUCCUCUUUGUUCAUGUGGUAGGUCAUUCUGAACUGGUUGUAGCAUGGAGGCAAGGAGUGGAGAAUGAUAUUGAUAGCCAAAUCCUCAUCAAAGUUAACAUUCAACUUUAGAAGACGAUCAACAUACCUCUGCAUCUUCUGCAGAUGCGAGGUCAAGGAUUCUCCGCUCCCCAUCUUAGCGGUGAUCAUGUUAGUGAUGAUCUCAUAACGCUCUUGCCUCGCGCUUUGGUGAUACCUAUCCAUUAAAUCUUGAUGCAUCUCGAAUGGAUACAUGUCCUCAUAGGACUUCUGGAGUUCAGCAUUCAUAGUCGCGAGCAUGAUGUAAUGAACCUUCGUUGCAUCACGUUCAUGAGCCUCAAAAGCAACGAUUUCUUCAGCAGUGGCAGUUUCUAGAUUGAUCUUUUCAAGCUUCUCGUCAAGGACAUACUCUCUGUCCUCGUAUCGAGUGAUCAUUCGAAUGUUUCGGAUCUACUCGUUGAAGUUGUUGCCAUUAAAGAUCACUUUCCCACACAAAUUCAUGAGUGAGAAUCCACCAGUAGCUGCAGGAGUGUUGUUGUUUGCGUUCGACAUCUGAAAAUAGAAAAGGACAAGUUUGAUUAGAAAGAAUCCCCAAUUAAACACCCAAAUGAAAAAUUAGGGCUAGGAUCCAACAACAUUAUUUACAACUUAGAAAAGGGAUACUGUAAUCUAAAUGCAAAUAAUAUUGAAGGUAAGUGAAUGACGAUUCACUAAUUUCCACCAUGAAAAACGAAAGGAAAUUUAGUUUUAAAUGUAUUUGAAAACUCCUAGAUCUUUGAGAUUCAUUGAACUUUUCAAUGGCAUGUUUAAAUCUCGAUAUGCACUUCAAAUUUGCGACUGGGAUACCGAGGAUCGCAAACAAGUCGUGAAUAACCAUGCGAAUCAACAUGGUUCACCCAAUGUCUCUAUCACCCAAUCAAUGUGUCGGUAAACCACACACGCUCCAUUGAUCUAUGACAAACAUCGAGCCACCCUUCGCCACCAAUGUCAAUCCCAAAUUAGUGUGUCGGUUAACCACGCACUCUCCACUAACGAUUGACAAGGGUGCAAAGUGUAAUUCCAUGGAAUAACAUCAUUUUCACAUUUUACCCUAAAGUAACUAAGAUUGGGAAUUUGAAAAACAUUAUAGUUGCUUUGUAAAUUUAUUAUACUUAUAAUGAGGAAUUAAGUGCCUUAUCCAAUCUGUUCGGCUAACGACCCUCCACCAGUCAAGCAAGCGGUGGGUGUGAGUGUACACCCAUUAAGCGUCAUUUUAUAGGCAACAACCUUAUACCCACCUUAUAGACUGGCUUCGUGAAUGAGGCCUACUAGCGAUAAGACUAGCUUAUUCUUAUACAAAUAUAUUAAUUAAUCUUGUAAUAAUAUAAUAAUAUAGGGUUGAAUUUUAAACUUGUAAAAUUCUAAGGGUUUGAAAUUUAAAUCAUUCAAAAUUAAACUUUUAAUCAUAAAAUUUAAAUUUCAAUACUUGAGGACAAGUUUUGAACUUUUCAAAACACAAGGGAUCAAAUAACAAAUAAUAUAAAUUAAACAAUUAACUUUAUGAUUAUCUAUAUUUGACUUAAUCCAAUUUUAUUUACAAGAUAAUUCAUCAAAUAAAUUAAAUAAUCAAAUAUUAUCACAUAAUUAAUUUAAUAUUUAAAUAUAUGGUAAUUAUCUUUUAAUUUGGUAAGGAUAAUCAUAGCGAAUGUAUAAAAUUCGGAUUUUAUAAUUCAAAAAGAAUUUUGGUAGUUAUCCAAACACAAAAAUAGCCAAAAAACUGAAUUUUGAGCCAUCUGAUCCACAGACUCGUCGAGUAGCAAACUGUACUCGUCGAGUCUGUCUCACAGACUAGACUCACGUCGUGAAUUACAGAGAGUCACGUCGUGAGUUUUUUGAUUUUUCAAAAACGAUUUCCAAAUCAAGCAAUGAACGAAUAUGAUAGCAUCAAAUACAACUGAAACCAAUCAAGCUCUAAUACCACUGAUGGUUUUUUUAUGCAUAAAAACAAUCCUAUGUGCUCAUACAAACCCUAAUGCUUGGAUCUAGGUUUCUCUAUUGAACAUGCAAUGAAUCCAAGACUUGCAAACCCUAAUCUAGCAUACAUAAUUUCGAAAUUAGCUAAUUACAUCAGAUCUAGAUGUUUACCUCUUCAAAUAGCGGCUUGAAUAUUCUUUUCUUGAGCUUAGAGUCACAAGUGUAACUCCUCUAAUGACUUACAAACACAACAAGCAAGAAGGCAACUUUUAGACAGAGAAGAGGAUGCUUAAUUUUGGCCUAGGGUUUCUCUUGGGAAGCAAGUGGCCGAAAACUGAAGGCUAGGGGUCAUAUUUAUACUGUAGGCUGCUAGGGUUUCAGUCUAAACUCUAAUGGACAGCUUCGUCACCAAACAACCCAAGGAACCUUCUGGAAUAAGGCCUUGGAUGAAAAUAUGAUGAUCCUUCAUCAUAAUUUCGUUCCCCCUUAAUCCAUUAGGUUUUCCAGCCCAAAACACAACUAUCACACAUUUGACAGUUUAUGCCCCUUUAUUUAAUUAAUCUCCUUUAGCCACCAAAUUAAUUCCUAAUUAAUUUAUGACUAAUACUAACUAAAUAAAUAUGAUUUCUCCUUUAAUAUAUUAUUCUUAUAAUAUAUUAAUAAAUCAUAUUAUCCUCUCUCUCUCUCUCAUCAAAUUACCCUAUCAAGUUGCUUUGGUGAAGGCAACCCAAAAGGACCAUGCACAACCGGGUCAAGUACAUACCAAAUAUAGUUACGAGUUUAGACACUAAUCCAACACUUUUAACAUAUCAUACUAAACUUAUAAAGGAAACAUUUUUCCUUUCACCACAUCAAUUUGAAACUACCAACUUUUCAUAUUUCCCUAUAAUAUACCUUCUAACUCAAAUAUGUUAUUAAUUAUUAAUAUUAUCAUAAAUGGAAGACUUCUUGAAUUAUCAAUAACUUCAAUAUAUUGUUAAAUGCAUAACCUAAAUUAAUUUAUCAAACAAAAUUAAAAAUAUAUUGUACAAUUUAAAACCUAAAGUAAAAUAUCAAAUAAAGUUUUUAAAAAAACUCAAUGUAUAUUUUUUACAAGAAUUAAAAGAAAAAUAUUAAAUACAAUAAACGUAAAAGAACAUAAAUCUAAAAGUAAACUUAACUAAAAGAUCUCAAAAAACUAUUAUUUAUAAUAAUUGAAAUUUGGUUAAGUUUUUUUUUUAAAUUAAUUUAUAAUAAUAAUAGUUAAAAUAACAUAAAGUUAUAAAUUAAAUUAUGUUACAUCACAAAUAAUGAUUGACAAUUUAAAUAAUCAUCAUGAUGAUGAAAUUAAAAUGUUGUCAAUUUUUCUUUAAAGUUAAUAAGUCAUUAAAUUAGUUAAUAAAAAUAGAUAAGAAAUAUAAUUAAUUUUAUACACACGUAAAGUGUGAGUAGAUACCAUUAAAUGAUUUGAUUUUUGUAAGUGUUAUAUUAUCUAUUGUUCAAAUUGAUUAUAUUGUUACAUUAACUAAAUGUCUAAAUGCAAUAAUAAUUAUUUUUUAGUUAAUAUAAAUGACAAAAAUAUUUUUAAUGACAUAUGAUUACUAAAAGGUUAACUAUACAAUUUUAUUCCGUGCAACGUGCGGAUAUUCGCUUCGUAUCAUAUGAUACUAUAUUAUAAAGUAAACAUUUUUUUUUCUUUCACCAGAAUGAAACUCCCAUGUAUUUUUUCUUUCACCACAUUCAUUUGAAACUCCCAUGACUUUUCAAUUUCUUUCUAAUAAUGAUUAUAAGUUGGUUAAUAAGAUUAAAUAAAUAUAAAACCUAAAGUGUAAUCAUAUAUAAACUAAAUUUCAAUAUUAAAAGAAUAUCUUUACUUCUACUUAUAAAGUUAUUUUUUUUUUAACUUUUAACAUAUUAUACUUAAUUUAUUAGUUUUAAUAUAUUGUUGGAUGUAAACCUUUAUCAUUUUAAAGCUAUAAUUUUUGAACAAUUUGUAUAAAAUACUUCAAUUAUAAAUUUAAAUAUAACAUUACAUGAUCAACUUAAAUAUAAAUUUUAGUUUAACUUAAACAACCAAAAUAAUAUUUUGUGAAUAGUUAAAAGUGAUAAACUAUAGUGUAUUUAUAAUAAUGAUUAUAAGUUAGUUAAUAAGGUUAAAUAAAUAUCAAACCUAAAGUGUAAUCAUAAAUAAACUAAAUAUCAAUAUUAAAAUAAUAUAUUUACUUCUACUUAUAAAGUUAUGUCUUUAACUUUUAACAUAUUAUACUUAAUUUAUUAAAUUUAAUAUGUUGUUGUAUAUAAAUCAUUAUCAAUUUAAGGCUAUAACUUUUGAACAGUUUGUACGAAAUACUUAAAUUGUUAAUUUAAAUAUAUAUCAUUACAGUGUCAAUUUAAAUAUAAAUUUCAGUUAUACUUAAAAACCCAAUGAAUAUUUUGUGAAUAAUUAAAAGUGAUAAAUUGUAGUGCUAAAUGCAAAAAUUAAAUUAUAAUCUCAAUAUAACUAAAAUAUUUGUAUAAUCGUUAAAAGUUUUCAUAUAGCUUAAAAUAACUUACAAUAACAAUAGUUAAAAAUAAUUGUAUAUAAAUGAUUAUAUUGUUACCUUUUAAAUCGAAAAACAAUGUUUUAUAUUUUAAAUAAUUAUAAUGAUAGAAAUUAAAACGUUAAGCAAAUAAAUUUUAAAAAAUUAAUUAACAAUAACAACAAUUAUAAAUAACAUUAAACCAUAUAUUAUAUUUAAUUUUAUUCAUGAGUAACUCGCGGGUAGAAGUCAUUCAAACGGUUGGGAUUAUGCAUUUAUAACAGAUGUAUAUAUUAUCAUAUAAUUAAAAAUAAUUAAUAUAUUAUAUCAGUUUAAUAUACGAAUUAUUAUAUCAAAUUUAAAAAUAACGUUAUUGUUAUAUUAAAAAAAACAUAUAUUUGUAAACAUUUCAACUAUAUAGGUGUUUCUAAGCAACGCGCGGACAUUCACCUAGUACUAUAUUAUAAAAGAAACAUUUUUUCUUUCACCACAUUCAUUUGAAACUCCCAUGACUUUUCACUUUCUCUCUAAUAAUGAUUAUAACUUGGUUAAUAAGGAUAAAAAAAAUAUCAAAACUAAAGUGUAAUCAUAUAUAAACUAAAUUUCAAUAUUAAAAAAUAUAUUUACUUCUAUAUAUAAAGUUAUGUUUUUUAACUUUUAACAUAUUAUACUUAAUUUAUUAAUUUUAAUAUAUUGUUGGAUGUAAACCAUUAUCAUUUUAAAGCUAUAUAACUUUUGGGCAAUUUGUAGAAAAUACUUAAAUUAUUAAUUUAAAUAUAAUAUUACAGGGUCAACUUAAAUAUAAAUUUUAGCUUAUCUUAAACAUCCCAAAUAAUAUUUUAUAAAUAGUUAAAAGUGAUAAAUUAUAGUAAAUUUCUAAUAAUGAUUAUAAUUUGGUUAAUAAGGUUAAAUAAAUAUCAAACCUAAAAUAUAACCAUAAAUAAACUAAAUUUCAAUAUUAAAAUAAUAUCUUUACUUCUACUUAUAAAGUUAUGACUUUAACUUUGAACAUAUUAUAUUCAAUUUAUUAAAUUUAAUAUGUUGGUGUACGUAAACCAUUAUCAGUUUAAAGCUACAAAUUUUGAACAGUUUGGACAAAAUACUUAAAUUGUUAAUUUAAAUAUAACAUUACAGUGUCAACUUAAAUAUAGAUUUCAGUUCCACUUAAAAAACCCACUGAAUAUUUUUUGAAUAAUUAAAAGUGAUAAAUUGUAGUGCUAAAUGCAAAAAUAUAAAUUGUAAUCUCAGUUUAACUAAAAUAUUUCCUAAAAAUAUUUUUAUAAUCGUUAAAAGUUUUCAAAUAAGUAAUUUAAAAUAACUUAUAAUAACAAUAGUUAAAAAUAAGUCUAUAUAAAUGAUUAGAUUGUUACCUUUAAAAUCAAAAAACAUUGUUUGAUGUUUUAAAUAAUUAUAAUGAUAGAAAUUCAAAUGUUAAACAAAUAAAUUUUAAAAUUAACAAUAACAACAAUUAUAAAUAACGUUAAACUAUAUAUUAUAUUUAAUUUUAUUAAUUAGUAACUUGUAGGUAGAAGUCAUUUAAACGAUUGAGAUUAUGCAUUUGUAAUAAAUGUAUAUAUUAUCAUAUAAUUCAAAAUAAUCAAUAUAUUAUAUCAAUUUAGUAUACAAAUUAUUAUAUCAAAUUUAACAACAACGUUAUUGUUAUAUUUAAAUAAACAUAUAUUUGUAAAGAUUUCAACUAUAUAGGUCUUUCUGUGCAACACGCAUGCAUUCGCCUAGUAUACUAUAAAUGAAACAUUUUUUCUUUCACUACCUUCAUUUGAAACUCCCAUGACUUUUCAUUUUCUUUUUAAUAAUGAUUAUAAGUUAUGUUUAACUUAAAGUGUAAUCAUAUAUAAACUAAAUUUCAAUAUUAAAAUAAUAUUUUUACUUCUACUUAUAAAGUUAUGACUUUAACUUUUAACAAAUUAUACUUAAUUUAUUAGUUUUAAUAUGUUAUUGUAUGUAAGCAUUAUCAUUUUAAAGCUACAACUUUGGAACAGUUUUGAUAAAAUACUUAAGUUGUUAAUUUUAAAUAUAACAUUACAGGGUAACAUAAACAUAAAUUUCAGUUUAACUUAAAAAAACCCAAAUAAUAUUUUGUAAAUAGUUAAAAGUGAUAAAUUGUAGUGCUAAAUGAAAAAACAAAAUUGUAAUAUCAAAUUAACUAAAAUAUUUCCUACAUAUAUUUUUAUAAUCAUUAAAAGCUUUCGAAUAGCUAGCUUAAAAUAACUUACAAUACCAAUAGUUAAAAAUAACACUAUAUAAAUGAUUAUAUUGUCAGUAUUAAAAAAAAUGAUUGAUAUUUUAAAUAAUUAUAAUGAUAGAAAUUAAAACGUUAAAGAAAAAAAUUUUAGAAAAUUAAUUAACAAUAACAACAACUAUAUUAAAAUAUAUAUUAUAUUUAAUUUUAUUCAUGAGUAACCCGUAAGUAGAGGUCAUUCAAACGAUUGAGAUUAUGCAGUUUUAAUAGAUGUAUAUUAUCACAUAAUUCGAAAUAAUCAAUAUAUUAUAUCAUCUUAGUACAUGAAUUACUAUAUCAAAUUUAACAACAACGUUAUUGUUAUAUUUAAGAGAACAUAUAUUGUAACGAUUUCAACUAUAUAUGUGUUUCUACGUAAUGCGCGGACAUUCACCUAGUAUAGAUAUAAAUUUUGAAUAAUCGUAACAAUCUUAGAGUGUUAUUUUUCUAGUCAUGAUAACGAGUUAAACCAUUAAAUUUAUUGAGAAGUAAAUGUCCAUAUAGAAAUACCAUACAUGUAGGACAUCAACCGUCACAUGAAACUAAUAAUACUCUAAAACAUUGGCCGAUACAACUAUGGUGAUGGGGGUUUUGUUUCAUCUCUAAAAUGUUAUUCCUUAUAUAUUUAGUUUUAUUUUAUGAACCUAUUAUAUUAUGUUGUAUCUAAGUACUGUUUUCUAAACUGUGCUGAUUGUUCAUUUUUUUCCUUAUGUUGGAGACAAACGGUUUAACAUAUUGUACUUUUUGGGCCACACAACAUGAAAACUUCCUAGGAUCACUCAUCCUAAAACUAUUUUCGUCUGAAACUUCUUAAGUACAAAGUUUUUAUGAGAUCUGUUGUCCUUAGGAAUGUAUACAUGUCUGACCUUGAAAUUUUAGAUGCCUUGUCCCUAAAUAAGAUAUUCAAUUAAGGUCGUAUAAGGUAAUGCUUAGGACCAACAAUGACUUUAAAACUCAUUGUGAUAGUUAGGUAUCCACANNNNNNNNNNNNNNNNNNNNNNNNNNNNNNNNNNNNNNNNNNNNNNNNNNNNNNNNNNNNNNNNNNNNNNNNNNNNNNNNNNNNNNNNNNNNNNNNNNNNNNNNNNNNNNNNNNNNNNNNNNNNNNNNNNUUUUUUUUUUUUUUAUUAUUAUUAUAAAAAGUGAUUUUUAAGAAAAGUGCUUAUUAGCUUAUGAAUUUUAGGAAAAACGGUUUUUAAAAAGUGUUUGGAUAAGAAAAGCUGUUUUUUAGGAGUAAAAUGACUAAAAAGCUGGAGUAAAAAACUAAGAUUUUUUAGCUUUUUGAAAGCCUUAUUUUUCCCAAUCCAAAAAACUGUUUUAAAAAACGUUUUUUUAAAUACAUAAGAGUUGUUUGGAUAGAAAAAAAAAGAUGGUGCUUAUUGCUUAUUCCACAACAAUAAGCUAAGUUUAAGUGUUUGGAUAAAAUCCUUAAAAAUCAACUUAUUGUGUUAAUAAUAAGCUAAAUAAGUUAAUUUUAAUAAGCAUUUCCCCUUUGCUUAUUUGCUUAUUGCUUAAUGCUUAUUUCCAACACAAAUAACUUAAUAAGCUAAUCCAAACACCCCCUUAACUUAUUAGCUUUUUAAAAAGCUAAUAAACUAUUUUCAAAAGUUACCCCAAACACCCACUUACUACAAUAUUGUCUGUUUUAAUCCAUCCGAUUUGAAAACUUCCUAAAGGUCACCUAUCCUUAAACUGAUCUCGCCGAUGCCUCCUUAACCGCAAAUCUUAUAAGAACUCUACGAUAAUAGGGGUGAACAAUGUCAGGAUGAGUGACAACUUUGAAAUUCGUUUAUAUUGGAUGGCUUAAAACGGACAAUAUUCUAUAUGGUAAAUGUGAUAGAAGAUGUUAUUAAGGCCCAUAAGGGAAAAGCUCAUAUCACAAAAUUUUGUAAUUAACAUAUCGUUGUUUAUGUUUAUGUUUUUAGGCUUUACCAUUGGGUAGGUAACGGAAUUUCUAUUAUUCCUACUGGCCAUUGAGUAUGUAACUGAAAUAAGUUACAUAUGUUUUCCUUUCAAGUUUCAAUUGAAAUCCAUCACAACGAAUUGCCUUUGCUGCCGACUCAAAAAUCAACAAUUAUCAAUUCAGGUACGUUUUUCUAUUAUUAUUAAGAAUUGUUAAGGACUUUAGUUGAAUUGUAAUUAUAAACAUAGGGUUUGAUUUGUAUGGUAAAUUAGUUGAUUUUGUUAAUGAUUAUUGAUCAUUAAAUAUUUAUUCAUAUAAUUUUAUAUGAUAUGUAUUGUUUAUUUAAUAUACUUAUAUAAAAAAAUUAUUGAAAAGAAUAAGUUAUUCAACUAUUUAUGUCACAUGUACAAACACGUUUUGGUGGUUCAUAUACUAAUAGUGUAUCAUUAGAGAAUGAUGAAUUGGUUUAUGAUGUUCCAAUCUAUAUUUGUACCUCAAUAUCCAAAUUUCUGCCUCUCGCUACUACCCUAAAAAUUAUGACGAGUGUACCUCUAUAUCCAAAUUCCUAUUCUCGCUACUACUCUAGAAUUAUUAACAGUAUACUUUAAAUUCUAUCACAUAAUACAUAAAACGAAGGCCUAUGUAUAUUAUUAUUAUUAUUUUUAACUUUAUAUGGAUAGAAUGAAAUUGUUAAAAUGUUAAAUGAGGCCAAAGAUAUUGAGUGGUGAUAGAAAGAUUGAAGGUUAACCUCAAAAAGCCCGUCUUCCCAUCCAAGUCUAUGGUCUUCAAACCAACAUGCAAUAUUUGGAUGCCACGUGGCACGGUACGAUAUCUUGAUUAUGUGGCCGUUAAGCUUUCAAAAGCUAAUCCUCAGCCUCCUUACAAUUCUUGGUCACUCGUUACUACUAUAAUAACUCACAAAACCUUCCUCCCAACUCAUUCUCACUUCCACUUCCACACUUAUCUUCGUCGGAGAUCCAUGGCCACCGCCGUAACAACCUUCGGAGCCGCCGUCAACAGAGCCCCGGUAUAUCUAUACUCCUUUACUUGCUUUCACAUAUGAUCACUUAAUUGCUUUAAAAUGGGGUAUCUUUCUUGAUCUUGAAAAGGGUUAAUAACUAGAAUCUGUGAUUGUUAUGAUGAUGACAGUUGAGCUUGAAUGGAAGCAGUGGUGUUGCUGCAGUCCCGAGCUCGACCUUUUUAGGUAGUAGCUUGAAGAAGAUAGUGAACUCAAGACACGCCGUCAACAGCAACAGGUUCGCGUCAUUCAAAAUCUUGGCAGCUGAUAAAGAGAUCGAGGAAACCCAACAGACAGACAAAGACAGAUGGAGGGGUCUCGCAUACGAUAUGUCCGAUGAUCAACAAGACAUCACCAGAGGUAAAGGGAUGGUUGACUCUCUGUUCCAGGCCCCACAAGACGUCGGAACCCAUUUCGCCGUCAUGAGUUCAUAUGAGUACAUCAGCACUGGGCUUCGCACGUACGUAAUCACCUUCAGCUUUUCAUAAAACUGAUUCGUUGAUUGGAUAUUCUUGAUUAUGAAAUUUAUGUAUGUAUAGAUAUAACUUGGACAACAACAUGGGUGGAUUCUACAUCGCGCCUGCUUUCAUGGACAAGCUUGUUGUUCACAUCACCAAGAACUUCAUGACUUUGCCCAACAUCAAGGUCCCUCUGAUUCUUGGAGUCUGGGGAGGAAAAGGUCAGGGAAAAUCUUUCCAAUGUGAACUUGUCUUUGCCAAGAUGGGAAUCACGUAAGUUUAAUUAAUUAAUCUUUUUCAAGAAACUUUGAUUAAUUUAUUGGUUAGGAAUCAUCGUCAUACUCUUGUUAUAUAUAUAUAUAUAUNNNNNNNNNNNNNNNNNNNNNNNNNNNNNNNNNNNNNNNNNNNNNNNNNNNNNNNNNNNNNNNNNNNNNNNNNNNNNNNNNNNNNNNNNNNNNNNNNNNNNNNNNNNNNNNNNNNNNNNNNNNNNNNNNNNNNNNNNNNNNNNNNNNNNNNNNNNNNNNNNNNNNNNNNNNNNNNNNNNNNNNNNNNNNNNNNNNNNNNNNNNNNNNNNNNNNNNNNNNNNNNNNNNNNNNNNNNNNNNNNNNNNNNNNNNNNNNNNNNNNNNNNNNNNNNNNNNNNNNNNNNNNNNNNNNNNNNNNNNNNNNNNNNNNNNNNNNNNNNNNNNNNNNNNNNNNNNNNNNNNNNNNNCUAUAUAUAUGUGCAUACAUACUGAUCAAGAACUUAAAUCGGUUUUGAAGUAGUGAUGUGAUGUGAUAUGAUGGGUGUGUUUUGGUUUUGUCAGACCUAUCAUGAUGAGUGCCGGAGAAUUGGAAAGUGGGAACGCCGGAGAGCCGGCCAAGUUAAUCAGACAACGUUACCGUGAGGCGGCGGAUAUCAUCAAGAAGGGAAAAAUGUGUUGCCUGUUCAUCAACGAUCUGGAUGCAGGUGCAGGUAGAAUGGGUGGAACAACACAGUACACAGUGAACAACCAGAUGGUGAACGCCACCCUCAUGAACAUUGCUGAUAACCCCACCAACGUACAGCUCCCCGGAAUGUACAACAAGGAGGAUAACCCCCGUGUCCCCAUCAUCGUCACCGGAAACGAUUUCUCAACACUGUAUGCUCCGCUCAUCCGUGACGGUCGUAUGGAAAAAUUCUACUGGGCUCCGACUAGAGAAGACCGAAUUGGUGUCUGCAUUGGUAUCUUCCGUACUGACAAUAUCUCCGACGAGGCCAUUGUCAAACUUGUCGAUACUUUCCCUGGUCAAUCCAUCGGUAAGGAAAAUGAUCUUGUAUUCUACUCAAUAUUACUCAAUACUAAUUAAGUAUACUAACAUAUCUUAAUUGUUUUAUUAUUCAUGAUGAAUUAGAUUUCUUUGGGGCGUUGAGGGCAAGAGUGUACGAUGAUGAAGUGAGGAAGUGGAUCGGAGAUGUUGGAGUUGAAACCAUUGGAAAGAAGCUUGUGAACUCGAGGGAAGGACCCCCGACAUUCGAGCAACCAAAGAUGACAAUCGAGAAGCUCUUGGAGUAUGGAAACAUGCUUGUCCAAGAACAAGAAAAUGUCAAGAGAGUUCAAUUGGCAGAGACCUACUUGGCAUCUGCGGCUCUGGGAGAUGCUAACAAGGACGCCAUCGAUCGCGGAUCAUUCUUUGGUUAGCCUUAGCCACUUCAUGACUUCAAUAUUCAAUAAAAUAACUUUGGAAUUUAUCAAAAUUAUUUCAAAAAAAAAUCUUGGGUUUUCUAAAUAAAUAUAACUUAUUUGGUGCAGGCAAAAAGGAAUAGAAAGCGGUAUUCGAGUGUGCGAAGGUUGCACUGAUUAUCGAUGGUUGGUGGAAACGCUAUGAUGAUGAUUGAUGAAGGCAGUAUUUAUAUAUAUUUUAAGGCCUUUUUAAGGGAAGGAAGGUGUUUAUUUUUGUUUCUAAGGAUGUGAGAUGUCAAAUAUUAUGUGUUUUACAUCUAUUUCCAUGGAUUUUUUUUACCGUCAUUGUGUAAAUUUUGUUUGUUGGUAGAAAGUAAGUUCCUUGGGUUUCACUUGAGUUUCAUGAAAUUCACAAAUUUUAACAAUCGACGCUCGGGAUAAAAUGUGUAAGAUAAUCUAAGCCCAAACAGAUCUAGAAACCAGGCUUGGAUUCAAAGCCCAACACUUAAAGAGGUUUUAUUAAUUAUAUUUAUAGCCUAUAGGUAGGGGCGUCAAAAAAACUCAAACCCGAUCCGACCCAAACCCGAAUAAGGUAAUUUGGGUCGGGCUUAAAAGGGUCAAAAUUUCUAAUCGGGUUAAUCUGACAAACCUGAAUUAAAGUUAGGGUCGGGUUUAUGGUUGAUUUUUUAAAAAAAAAUCGGGUUUCGGGUCAAUCCGAAUAAUUCGUUUAACUAACAGUUUGUACAGUACAACCCUUUGUAGCUAUUGUUAUUCUUCGACUUUAUUUCUCUUCGUUUAAAUAUUAAAUCAUAUCAUCAUAUUAUGAAGACAAAACCCAUUCAUUUUUUUCUCAUCCUCCUAAGACUCGUUAUCAUAAGUAACAAAAUAAACUCAACAUUUUCUGGAAAUUUACAUUUUCAAUCCCUAUAUUAAUAAGUGAUUUAUAAAAAUGAUACAAAUUGAAUCCAUCUUACCUUCUAUGUGUAACCUACACUAACAACAUAAUGAAUUGAACUUUUUUUAGCAAUUUAUGUAUUCCAUCCCUGUAUUAUUACCUAAUUUGCUCAAAUGGAAAAACAUUAGUCUGACUUACAUUUCAACCUGAUUAACCCGAUUAACCUGACCCUAUUAACCCGUAACCCAAUUAACCAGAACCCCACUAAGGGCUUCAAGAAAUGACCGUAGGGUGCAAGGAAGGGAUCCCGAGCUCUAAAUCUUAAUCCUGUAGAUAAUAUGGGUAACUUAAGAAAUUUAUGUUCCUAAUCACCAAUUAACCCAUAAUGAUAAUUCCUACCCUCUAAACAAAAUCCUUGACAAAAACAGUUUUAAACAUUGACACUUUCAACCCCUUUUCUAAAAAUGAUUACAAAACCCUUAUUUAUACAUUUCCUAAUUCACUACUUUUAUUAUUUUUAUUAUUUAUUUAUUUAUUUCUUAAUUAAUUCUUUAACAUUUAUCGAAUGCCAUUAUUCAUUUUAUUCGCCGAUAUACUUCCUUGGAAUAUUUGUCCAUAAAUAAAUGAUUAUACUUAUGAUUUUAUAAACUCGUUUCCGAAUUACUAAUAAGAAAUAAGGCGCUUGUAACGACAUAAAUUUCAAAACAAUUUUUCACAUUUUAAAAACACAUUUUCAUUCAUAAUUAUUAUAAAAUGUCAUUAUAUCACAUAACAAUCCAUAACAUCACAUCCCAAGAUCAUAACAUCUAAAACUCCUCAUGUGUGUGUAUUGAUCAAGUCGGCGCCUUCCCGCGAUCCUCACUGGUACCUGAAACACAUCACACAACACUGUAAGCAUAAAUGCUUAGUGAGUUCCCCAAAAUACCACAUACAACACACACGCCUUUCCAGGCCAUAACUCUAUGGAACCUUCCGGUCCAAGUGUCUUAGGGGACUUCCGUCCCGAAUCCCGGUAGAACUUCCAGUCCUACUUGUACCGACCUUCCGGUCCGUACCUCCUGACCUUCCGGUCCAUGUGCUCUUGACCUUCCGGUCCAUGUCAUCUUGACCUUCCGGUCCAUAUCAUACAUAGCAUACAUAACACAUAUCAGCAUAUACCACAUAUAUCUCAUAGCAUAUAAGACCUUCCAAUCACACUUAGGUACCCUUCCAGGUACAGUAUAGUGAGAAGACUCACCUCGGUAUCUCGGAUAGUCUCGCACUCGAUCACACUAGUCUAGCCCCCGCCUAAACACAUAACAAUACUCUCAAAUAAAUAAUGGCUCUCAAAGGCUAGAUUAAAUCCACUCUACAAUUUCCACAGAAGGGUAAAAGACCAUUUUACCCCUCCUUGACCCAAAAGUCCAAAGGUUGACCAAAACCCUAAAAGUCAACGAAAGUCAACAGGAGGUAGUACGCGGCGCGUACCUUCUAUGUAUGCGGGGCGUACGCCAGCGAACCAUAAUCAGGGCUUCAACCCCUUACGUUGCGCGUACUGAGAGUUACGCCCAACGUAAGUCCCAGUUCAGCCAUUUCACAGAUUUUGGUCUUAAACGGUUAAGACACUACUUCAACUUCCAGAUCUGACUCUCCUUGAUCCUUUUAUCCCAUAAAGUCGGAACCUUUAAGCCUUUGCAUGGCUGUAAAGGUCCCUACACCCUCUAAUACCUUUCCUUUCUCCUCCAAAGGUCUAGAUCUCAUGCAUGGCUCCAUAUUUACGUCCACGAUUGCAUUUUUAUGAACAUACAACACUUAUAGUCCUGAAAUAUGAUAGAUCUAGGUCAAUGGAGACCAUUUGCUCAUAAAGUCUCCAUCUUGGGACCAAAAACCCUAGAAAUUGGUCCAAGAAGCACACAACACAAAUAACAAGACAAGAUUUGAGCUUUUCACCUCAGGAAGAAGCUCCAACCUCUAAAAAGCUCAGAUCUGUUGUUUCCCACAAGCUUCUAGCCUCCAAAAUAGCCUCUUCUUCUCUUCCAUCACCUUGAAAUGACACUUAGAAACUUAGAAUACCAACACUCUAGCUAGCAACGAAGGAGGGCACUCUUUUAGGGUUUCACUCUUUGGAAUAGAGGCUGAGGUCAAGGCCAUAGCAUUCCUUUUAUAGUGCACAAGCCCCAAUUUAGGGUUUACACCUGGGCUCGCUACGCCCAGCGUAACCCUGGGUACGCCCAGUAUACCCAGGCGAUUCCGCGUCCAAAAUAAGCACGCGAGUACGUGCAGCGUACUCCUCAGUACGCCCAACGUACUCACAAGCCUAAUAUUUCACUUAAGGGAGUUAAUUUGACAACUUGGGAAAUGAGAAGGGUUAAAUAGCUUUACCUGAAUUUCGGGAUGUUACAGCGCUACAUAAAGUCGACAACUUGAUGCCUUUGCAUUGCUCAAUAAGGCACUAAUACAAACCCUAAGUCCAAAGUACACUCUAAUGUCCAAAAUCUCAUGUAUGGAUGAAUGGGAGUGUCCACGCUCCUAUUUUUAUGACUUCGCCAAUUCAAAAAUGACUAGAAAUGACACUCAUGACGUUUAGAGUAACCCAUUCCUCAAAAGUCCAAAUCUUGGGACCAAAAGCAUAACUUAACAUAAAGCAAUUCUAGAUAUAGAAAAAGAAACAUAAAGGUACAAGCUUUAUACCUUCAAAAGGUUGCAAGGAAGAUGAAAGUAUUGGAUCUUAGAUCUUGAGCUUCUCUAAGCUUCAAUGGUGGACUUGUUCUUCUUCUAAGAGUACCAAAAACCCACAAAAAUACUCAAAGGUCACAAACUUCUACUAAUGGGGAUAGGGUUUCAAAUAACUACUUUGGGGUGAAAGGAGGCUGAGCAUGAAGAGGCCACAAGAGGACAUAAGGUGUUUAAAUAGGGUCUCAACCCUAAAAAUAGGGUUUGUCACUGCAUUAGUACGACCAACGUACUAGAGAGAAACCCUGUGUCCAAGUCUCAACGAGGUACGCCCCGCGUACCCUCAAUUUGCCUAGCGUAAUGGGCAUUUAUGCAAUAAACAAUUAUUUAAAACUUGAAGAAUUUACCUGGGAACCGGACGUUACAAUUCUUCCCCACUUGAAUCCGACUUCGUCCUUGAAGUCCGUCGAUGCAAAUAAAUUGGGGUAAUGCUCCCUCAUCUCCUCCUUGGGCUCCCACGUCCACUCCGAACCCUUCCGAUGCUUCCAUUGCACCUUAACUAGACCCACAUCCUUGUUUCACAUAGUCUUUGUCUUCUUGUCUAGAAUCGUAAUUGGUAUCUGUAUGUAAUCCAAGCGCUCAUCCACCUGGAUAUCCUCAAAAGGAACCACUACAAAAUCAUCAACCAAGCACUUCCAUAGUUGAGAGACGUGAAAAGUGCUAUGAAUCUGAUUGAGCUCGUCGGGUAGCCCCAAACUAUAAGCAACCCUACCCACCCAAGCAAUAACCCUGAAAUGACCAUUGUAUCUAGGGCCCAUCUUGACUCGCUUCCGAAACUGGAUGACACCUUCAAGAGUACCAUAUCCCCAACCUGGAACUCCAAGUCUGACUGGCGUCUAUCAACAUAACUCUUUUGUCGGCUCUACACAGUCUGUAAUCUCCCGCGCACCUGUUGGAUCAACUCGGUAAUGCGAAGAACCACCUCUGUGCUACCCAUAACUCGUUGACCGACCUCACCCCAGCAAAUCAGUGUCGGUCACUUUCUCCCGUAGAGUAUCUUAAAAGGAGGUCGAUCAAUACUGGCAUGGUAGUUGUUGUUGUAAGAAGACUCAGCUAAUGGGAGAUGUGGAUCUCAACUACCGCCAAAAUCCAGCACACAUGUCCGAAACAUAUCCUCCAAGGUAUGGAUAUUCUGCUCACUCUGACCAUCCGUCUGCGGAUGAAAAGUCGUGCUGAAGUGUAUUCGCAUACCCAACUCCUCAUGGAAUCUCUUCCAGAAUCUGGAAGUGAACUGAACAUCCCGAUCAGAAACUACUGAGAUUGGGACCCCUUGCUGUGUCAUAACCUCCCGGAUGUAGACAUCCGCCAACUUCUCUACAGAGAUACUCUCUUGAGUAGGAAUGAAAUUCACACUCUUGGUCAAUUGAUCCAUGAUGAACCAAAUAGAAUCUACCCCUCGCGCACUCCGCGGUAGCUUUGUGAUAAAAUCCAUCAUAAUCUCUUCCUAUUUCCAAACGAGAACACCUAAUGGCUCCAUCUUACCGUGAGGUCGCUGAUGCUUGGCCUUGGCUUUCAUACAAGUCAAGCACCUCUCCACAUACCAAGCCACAUCCUGCUUCAUGCAGGGCCACCAAUAAUCAAGCUGAAGGUAUAUAUAUACAUCUUUUUCGCUCCUGAAUGAAUGGAAAACCUCGACUUAUGCGCCUCCUCCAUCAAAAUCUUCCGAGUACUCCCAAAAUAUGGAACCCAAACUCUCCAAUGAAGGCUCAGUAAUCCCAAGCUAUCAUAAUCUAAAGAGGACACCUAACCCACUAUAUGCUCACUCUUCUGGUGCUCUUCUUUCAUAGCCUCUACUCGAGCCUCUCGAAUCUUCUCUAAGAGCGGGGUAAUCACCAUCAUCCUUAAACAAACAUCCUUGAUCGGUGUACCAGCCUUCUUGCAGCAAAUAGCAUCAUCCACCAUGUUGGACUCCCCAGGUGAUAAAGGAUCCCACAAUCAUAAUCCUUCACCGCAUCAAGCCUCAUAUGCUGCCUCAUGUUCAGAUUUGGUUGAUCCAUCAAACACCUCAAACUCUUGAGGUCUGUGUAUAUAAUACAACGAACCCCAUACAAUUAAUAAAGCCACAUCUUGAAGGAGAAUACCACUACCUUCAACUCCAAAUCAUGAGUGGGAUAAUUCGCCUCAUGAGGUUUCAACUACCUUGAAGCAUAAGCUAUCAAACGACCCCUCUGCAUCAAAACUACUCCUAAUUGCGAAAUCAAUGCAUCAUAGUACAUCACAAAUUCAUCCACACCCUCUGACAGGGUCAAGAUCGGAGCCUCACACAAAUUUUGCCUCAAAGUCUCAAAUGUCACCUGCUGCACAGGCCCCCAACGGAAAGUAGUAGACUUCUUUGUCAACCUGAUCAACGAAACUGCUAUCCUGGAUAAAUUCUCAAUAAACCUUUGAUAAUACCCAACUAAAACAAGGAAAAUAUGAAUCUCAGAUGGAGACCUCAGAACCUACCAUUGCAUCACAACCUCGAAUUUGGCUUGAUCUACCAAUAUACCCUUCUGAUUAAGAAGAUGCCCCAAAAAUUGCACCUCGCGCAACCAGAACUCGCAGUUGGAGAAUUUGGCGUAUAGCCUAUCCCUCAAAGUCUCCAAAACAUCUCAUAUAUGAUCCUCAUUAUGCUACUUGGUAUUAAAAUAGACCAAGAUAUCAUCAAUAUACACAAUGAAUGACCGAUCCAACAUCGGUCUGCAAACCCGGUUCAUGAGAUCCAUGAACGCUGCGGGUGCAUUGGUGAACCCAAAAGGCAUCACCACGAACUCGUAAUGACCAUAAUGAGUCCUGAAGGCCGUCUUUUGAACAUACUCAUCUCAAAACCUCAUCUGAUGAUUUAUUGAUCGCAGAUAAAUCUUGGAGAACCAAGACGCACCCUGAAACUGGUCGAACAAUUCAUCAAACCUCAGAAGCGGAUAACGGUUCUUCACUGUCAACUAGUUCAGCUCCCGAUAAUCGAUGUACAUCUUGUAAGAGCCAUCCUUAAUCUUCACAAAAAAAAAUCAACGCUCCCAAGGGUGAACUGCUCGGUCUAAUAAAUCCCUUGUCUAACAGCUCAUACAGCUGUGUAGACAACUCUGCAUCUCUGGCGGUGCCAACCGAUAAGGUGCCUUGGCUAUCACAGCCGUACCUAGACCGGAUCUAUACAAAACUCCACCUGCCUCUCCGGAGGCAUUCCUGGAAAGUCCUCCUGGAACACAUAUGAAUACCAUCGACCAACUAACACAUCAUCAAUUGUUCUAUUUUUCUCUUCCCUUGUAUCCAAUAUAUAAGCCAUGAACCCAGAACAACCCUGAUGCAAGUAUCUCUUAGCUCUCGCAACCAAACAGAGAGCUGGUCCACGUUGAGCACCCUCGCCAUGAAUAACUAGUUCUCCCUUACUUGGGGCUCGAACCAGAACUAACGGGUACCUACAAUUUAACGGUCGGGAUUCAUGUAUUUAUAUUUCUUACCCUUGGUAUGAAAGUUAUUGCAAUUUGGUCCUUUCGUACGUUGGGCGUACUUGAGGGGUAUGCUUAGCAUACUAAGGAUGGAUGAUCGUGGAGGGUUGUCAUGUACGCUGGGCGUACCAAGGGGUACGCAGGGCGUACGUGAUUGUAGAUCAAAACCUUAAAAUCUGGACCUGAGACCUAUAUAAACGUCCUUAAGUCAUUUGGACCAAAACCUAAUCAACCUCCAUAGCCUCAUUUCGUCCUUUAACCUCAGAUUUCCUUGUGAGGGUGAUUCUUGAGCUUAGAAAGUGUGUUGGUGGCCAUUUUAGAUAGCAUUCAAGAAGGAGAAGGUGGUGAUCAAGCCUUAGGUGUCAUUACGCUUCUAGAUCUUGCAUCUAGUUCAUUUUGAGAAACUUCUGGAGGUAUAAAGUCAUAAUCUUGUCAUCUCUUUUGUUAGUUUGAGCUAGGGUUUUGUUAUGGAGUCCCUUUUUGGCUUUUAGACCUUCUCUUGUGAUUUGAGCAACUCUAGAGACUAGGAUAGCUAGAUCUAUGCUCCUUGAGCAUGUUAGAUGCAUAAAGGUGCCAUCUUGAAGUUUGUUUUGACUCCAUGCUUAAGUUUGAGGUCUUAAAUGAGGUGUUAUUGGGAAGAAUGAAGUAUUGGGGUCACUAAUGACAUGCAAGAGCAUAAAGUUGCCAACUUUAUGCCCUAGGACAUCUUAAUGGACUCAGAUAUGAAGUUUGAUGUUGAAAUCCCAAGUACUAAGCACUUAAUGGCUGAUUGAUGCAUGUCCAGCUUGUACGCCAUACGUAAUAAGGUGUACGCAGCGCGUACAACCUAAGUGUCUGUUACGUUGAGCGUACUCGAGUGGUACGCAUGGCGUACGCACUCCAAAUGGGUGUAGCCUUUGUGUGGGCUUACAAGCUUAUUGGGCCUCUUUCAGUUUUGGGCCUAGUCCCACUUAGAGUUUUGGGCUGAGAUUUUGAUUUGGGCCAUAGUUGUAUUGGUUGGGCCUUAUUGGGCCAUGUGGCCCAUUAAUAGCUUUUAUCUUGGAUCUUAUGUCCAUUAGCAUAGGGAAGACUUUUGGGCCACUAUGGAAGGACUUAGGCUUAGGUGUUUGGACUCUUUGAUUAGGUUGUGUUAUAAUCCUAAUUUAGGGUUAAUUGUAUCAUUGUUCAGUGUGUCGUUUCGGACUGUUAGGCGAGCAACUUUUAUGUUUAGCAGACUGAGGUGAGUUUUCUCACUACACUUAUGGGUCGAAGGCACCAAGGCUGGCCCAUUAAUUGAUAUGAGAUGUUUAGUAAUUGAGUAUGUAAUGGUUUUCUAUUUGAUUUAUGUGUGGACUUAUGUGAAGACCAUGGGAGGAGCCCAUGACACUAGGCAAGACCAUGGGAGGAGCCCAUGGCUCGGGGAUAUAAGACCAUAGGGGUAGCCCAUGACAUUCCAAAUAAAGACCAUGGAGGGAGUCCAUGGCAAACUUAUAUGUAUGUGUGCAUGGAAUUAUGUGAUCAUGUGUUUUGUGUGUUUUGGGAAACUCACUAAGUGUGUGCUUAUAGUUUUGUUGGAUGUUUCAGGUACUCCAAGCUCUAAGGGCAAUGGCCCGACUUGAUGGCGUGGCAUGCAUUCUCUAGUAUUUCCGCAUUUAGUUUUUGAUACUCUGAUUUUUAAAAUACUAUGGUUAUGUAAUGGGAUGCUAAAAACAGUUAUAGUUGGUAUUUAUAAUUAAAUAAAUGAAAAUGUUUCUGUAAAAAUUGGGUUGUUACAACUUGGUAUCAGAGCCUUGGUUUGAGGGAUUUAAGCACAAUCUCAGGUGUGUCAGAACUCAAACUGAGGAAAUGGUAAACCAUUUUCUUUUCAAAGUAACCAAAGGAUAAGAAUUUUCUUGAAAACAGUUUUUUGUAAGUAAAAAGGGGAGAAUGCAAUGCACGUAAUCGGCCGAGCUCAAGUAAAUGUUUUUCCAAUGUGUUAGCCAUGUUGUAUUUAUAUUUGGAAAUUGAUGAUGAAUUGAUUAUUUGGUAUGUGUAUGCUUUCAAAUCUGUAUAUGAUUAGGAUUGCAUAGUCCUAGAAUGAUGAAUUUUGAGGUGUUUGAUGUCAUUUCCUAUGAGUAGUAUGUCAUCCACAUACAAUACCAAAAAGCUAACUAUACUCCCACUAGCCUUGACAUAUACACAAGAUGGAUUCCAUCUGCGAGGUGCUUGUUUCAAUCCAUAGAUGGAUUUCUCAAGCUUACACACUCUGUUAGGGUACUCUGUACUGACAAAACCCUCUGGCUGAACCAUGUAAACUGUUGGAUUAGUGUCUAAGUCCAUAACUAUUUUGGUAUGUACUUGACCCGAUGGUGCAUGGUCCUUUUGGGUUGCCUUCACCAAAGCAACUUGAUAGGAUGAAUUAUAGAGAGAAAGGAUUAAAUAUGAUUUAUUAAUAUAUUAUGGGAAUAAUAUAUUAAAGGAGAAAUCAUAUUGUUUGAUUAAUAUUAGUCAAUAAUUAAUUGGUAAUUAGUUUUGUGACUAAAAGAGAUUAAUUAAACUUAAGGGACUGAAAUUGUAAUUAUAAGAUAAUUGCAAUUUGGGCCAUGGAUUGCCUUUUAUUAUAAGGUGGAUGAAUUCUAUGGGGGAAGCCCAUAUGAAAUCGUCCAAGGCCUUAAGGAAAAGGCUCCAUGGGUUGCUUAGGGCUUAAGCAUCCAAAUUAGGGUUUCCUUGUUAGAUAACCCUAAUUGCCUCCUAUAUAUAUGGAUCCCUUAUGACCCAAAAACGUGGCUAAGACUUCUCUAGGGUUUGUAGACGGUUUUGGGCAGCCUCCAUCCUCUCUCCUCUUCAUCCUCUUGCUUAUGGUGUUUGUGAACCAUUAGAGGAGUGACACUUGUGACUCUAAGCCUUCCAAAGUCAAUACAAGGAGAUUUGGGAUUGUUAUUGCUACAUAACAAUCAAGGUAACAUUAUAAACUUAUUCUAAUGUCUAAUAUGAUUACUUGUAUGCUAGAAUUAGGGUUUAUAGUCUUGGAUUCAAAGCAUGUACAAUAGAGAAACCUAGAUCCAAGCAUUAGGGUUUGUAUGAGCACAUAGGAUGUUCUUAGGACCAAAACCCAUCAGUGGUAUCAGAGCCUAGAUUGGUUUCUAUUGUAUUGAUGCUUUGUAUGUUGAAAAAAUUCGAUUUUUGUGUUUCUGGGGGCUGAACUCGCCGAGUUUUUUAGAUGAACUCGCCGAGUUCAUGCUAACUCGACGAGUCCAUGCCUGACUCGACGAGUCGGCUGGUCAGUGUGAGGGAAAACCGGGAUUUCUUGCUGUUUUUGCUUAAGGAUAGUUGCCUUAUCAUAUUAGAUCAAUAUUAAUCCGAUUUUAUGAUAUAUUUGACUAUAUUCUUGAUCUAAUUGAAGAUAUUUAUCAAUUAAUAAAAUAUUUGUUUCCUUAUGUGAUAAUUGAUUAAUUAUUUUGAUUAAAUUGGUAAAUUGUUUUGCAAGAAAUCAUUAAAUAAAUCAAAUAUGGAUAAUUAUGUGAUUAAAUGUUAAUUUAGAUUAUUUGUUAUUUGAUCCUUGUGUUAUGAAAAGUUUCAUAUUUUCCCCUUUAGGUUUUAUAGUUUAAAUUUGAACCCAAAAGUUUUGUUGUUUUGAAAUUUAAAUAGUUAAAACCCUAAUGUUUUGAAAAAGGUUUCAAAACUUGCCCUCAAGUUUUGGAAUUUAAAUUUUGAUUAAUUGUUUAAUUUUGAUGUAUAUUUAAAUUCUAAACCCUAAUGUUUUGAAAUGUUUCAAAACUUGCCCUCAAGUUUUGGAAUUUAAAAGUUGAUUAAAAGUUUAAUUAGGAAUGUUAAAUUCUAAAACCCUAGUAUUGUUUUGAAAAAGUUCAAAUCACACCCUUAUGGUUUUAUUAAUUAAUUAAGGUGUAUAAUUAAAAGAGGUUUAAUAAAUCCAUAAAAGUUUUGGUUUACAAUUUAAUUGAAUUAAAAGUAUAAUUGUUAAAUUAGACCACCUAAUAUUUUAAAAGUGUAAAAUACACCCUAUACUAUAUAUAACAUUAAAAGUCUAACAUUAUAUAUAUGUAUGAGUAAAAGUCAGUCUUACCGUUAGUAGGCCUCAUUCACGAAGCUGGUCUAUAAGGGGUGUUUAAGGAAAUUGCCUAUAAAAUGGCGAUUGAAUGGGUAUCCACUCUUACCCACCGCACUCUUGACUAGUGGAGGGUCGUUAGCCGAACGGGUAGGAUAGGACGAAACCUUCCAUUAUAAGUAUAAUGAAUUAUUAAAGUAACUAAAUGUUUUCAUAAAAUUCCCAAUCUUAGUUACUUAGGCAAAAGUGAAUUGAUGCAAUUCCAUGAAAUUACACUUUGUGCCCUUGCGAAGACGUUAGUGGAGCGUGUGUGGUUUACCGGCACACUAAAUGGUUCUAAGCAAAGGUAGCAAAGGGUGACUCAAUGUUUGUCAUAGUUCGGUGGAGCGUGUGUGGUUUACCGGCACAUCGAAUAGGUGACUGUAACAUGUGAGGGCACCAUGUAAGUUUGCAUGGUUAUUCACACCCGCUUUGUGAUCCUCGGCAUCCCAGUCACAAACAAGAGGGGCAUAUCGAGAUUUAAACAUGCCAUUGAAAGUUCAAUGAAUCUCAAAGGAUCUAGGAGUUUUCAUAGAUUUAAAACUUAAAUUUCUUUUUCGUUUUUCAUGGUGGAAAUUAGUGAAUCGUCAUUCACUUACCUUCAAAUAUUCUGCAAUUAGGGUUACGGCAUCCCUCUCCCGAGUUGUAGAAUAUUGUGUUGGGUCCUAGCCUUAGUAUCUCAUUUGGGUGAUUUACUAAGGACUCAAUCAAUCAACUAACUUGAAUUCGUUUUCUCCCGUUUUGUAGAUGUCAAAGUUCGACAACUAUGGUCUUCCCAAAUCCCGUGGAACAAGCAUUCCACAUGAAGAUGAUAUUCCACGAUUCGAUCGAGGAACAAGAAAUCAUGCUUCACUUCCUCCUCCUCCUCCAAUUAUUCUCCCUAACCCACAAGUUCAAAGGCUUGAAAAGUUCAAGAUCACUCAAGCCCUUUUGGCAAGUAAACAUAAAGAAGGAAAGUCGGUGUGUGCACACGUCCUAGGGAUGAAGUCACACAUUGAUAGGUUAAGAAUGUUGGGAUCCGUUGUCUGUGAGGAAAUGGCUGUUGAUUGGGUUCUUCAGUCACUUCCUAACUCAUAUAGUGAGUUCGUAAGAGAGUACUAUAUGAUGAACCGCGACGUGACCCUUAUAGAUCUCACCUAUAUGCUUAUUGCUGCUGAAUCAGCAAUGGUUUGGCGCAAUAGAAAAGCAAAGUUGAUUGAUGAAUCUGCCUUCAAGACCUCUAUGAAUAUAGACAAUGGCAACGAAAUACAUGUUAUGAUCGAAAAGUUUGAUCAGAAGAGAAAGGCCAUGUCUGAAGUAGUUCCAUGUCCCGUUCCAAAAGAGUUAAUUUGCUUUUAUUGCCAAGAGAAGGGGCAUUGGAGACGAAGCUGCCCUAUUUACCUAAGAGAUCUAAGAGAUGGGAGAGUCAAAACGUAUGGCUCUGCUUUAGGUAAAAUCCAUUGACUAACUCUUUUAAGCUUCUAUUCUAGAUUCUUAAUACAUAAUGUGAUAAGAUUACAAUUGAUGUUUUGUAGGAUCGAAGAAAAGAAAGGAAGCUUAAGGGAAGAAGUGAGCAAAAUCUAACCGUGAAGGAAUGGAUUUCGAUCGCAUUUCUCGAAGAUUAGAUUCUUGAGCUACUACUUAGAGUUAGAAUUAGAUUGCUAAGAAAGAUGUAUUAGCAUAGUUUUUCAAUGAAUUGCAUUGUAAGGACAAAUUUUUCCGCAAUAAAAUAAAUUUUGAUUUUAUAUUAUUUAUUUAUCCUUGCAAUGGCGUAUAUGAAAAAUUGAUGUUUGAAUGUUUCUAUUAUUAGCAAUAAUGGAUUUGGUUCUUAUUAUGUUAUUUAUGGAAAGUCGAGAAUUUACCAAAUAGGGAGAGUUUCUCAUCGCCCAAGUUUCAAUUGGACAGAAAUUUGGAAUCAUGCAACUUGGUUGCACGAUGAAUGAGAAAUUUCAUAUUUGGAAAUUAGACUAAUUCGUUGACAAGGUGUCAAUUGAAGGACUUGGAAAUCGAGUACACAAAGUUGCAUGCUAAUCAAGUCCACCAUAAAAGUAACAAUGAUAUUCUUCAUGAUUUACUAAAAGUUUAGUAAAUAUGAUUAUACUUAUAAGAUUAAGUGUAAUUCUGAAUUGAUUGAAAAGGUUUAAAUCAAUAGUAGAAUAAAUAAGAAGAAUCAAGUACGCAGAAAGAUAAAAUUUUCUCCAUUCUAAGAAGAAGGGAGAGUACCUUUUAUGCUUUAUGAUAGGUCUUAAUGAUUAAGAACCAUAUCUCAAUUGAUCCUCUAAGUGAGUCUUAGUACAAUUGUAUGUCUAAGAAGAGGAAUCAAGAAUUGAAGAAAUGGUUAAAUCAAGAAGUCAAUCAUACUUCGUUCCAAAACAAGUCUUAGAGUUAAGAUUGUGACAUUGAGUGAAAAGUAUUAAGAAGGUUUAUAACAUUCAUUAAAUGUGGAAAGUUGUGAUGUCUUGGAUAAGACAAAGACCAACUAGGACCAAUUUAUGAAGUGUUUUGAUAAAAGCUACACUAACUCUUGAAUAUUUGUUUGUCAAGAAAUGGUUAUUGACAAGAGAAUCUUAUAUGUCAAGGAGUCAGUGGGAGUCUUAAUGGUCUUGAAAGGUUUCAAGAACAAAUCAAAUAAACCUUAUCGAUCAUCACUAGCACACGAGUUGAGGUUUACAACCUAUCGUGUUGACAUUAUUUUGAUUCUGUGCCAAUCCAAUCGAGUUAAUUAUGCAUGUGAGUUCUAUGAGUUCUCAUUUUGAACGCAUAAAAGGCAAAGCACCUUAAUCAAUGAAAGGUACAUUGAUAGGAAAGGGUGAGCUGCUUAACUACUUGGAAGACAUGGUGGGCAGCUGUGCUACCAUAAGGCAAGAAAUCAAGAUUAAGAAAGUUCGGUCCAUAUGAGUUUGAAUUUGUCGUAAACUUUGGUUUUAACAAAUUCACAUGGAUAGGAACACAUACACCGUUUAAAUCUAAGUGUCAUAAGAUUUCCUCCUUCAUGAAAAUGAUUGUGAGGAAAUGCUUUCACUAAGAAAGAUUUUAAGAAGAUAGUGAUUGUAAAAUUGCAUUCUCAAAUUCAAUUAUGGUUACGGCAUCCCUUUCCAUAAUUUGAAUUGUGAGGUUUGGCAAUUAGUCUUAAUUGUUUAGACACACAUAUGAACUAUCGAAGGCAAAGGUGUAUAAGUUCAAGAAGCAUUGAUAAAGGAUUAUCAAAGCACUAAGUAUUAGAAACAUGAACUUAAGAAAUUCAAUAAGUUUGGUUUUCUGAAAGUUAAGAUGUUUAUGAAUACAUGUCGAAGCUAGUGGGAGCAUAAGUGUUAUGUUUUAUAAUAAUCAUCAUGAUAGUGGGAGCAUAAAUGUUAUGAUUGUAUGAUUAUUAAGGAAAGUAUUGCAAGGUUAGCAAUAUUAAUUAUAGAAAACAAGAGUCAUACUUUGCAAAGUUGUAAGAGUUGAAAAGUUGUUUUGCUAUAAUUAAGGGAGAGAAUAUUAUGCUUCAUUUCAAAUCUAAAGGAUUAGGUUGAGAAAUGUUAAUAAAUUUAGUCAAAGGUACAUAGUGUGUUCUUAAAAUUUCGAUUAUGAUUACGGCAUUCCUCUUCACAAUUCGAAUUUUGAGAACAUAGCAAAUAAAACAUUAUGCGUCGUGUCCCAUACGCUUCGGGUAUAGGAUCGAUUGCAAAUGCUUUAAUGUUUGACCAUUCUAAAAUUUUCCAAAUGUCUAGCGCAUUUAGAGGGAAAAAGGACUAGAAUCGGUUUUGACUAAAAUAAUUAAACAACUAUCAAAGGACAAUCCAAAGUUCGACGAGGAUUGGUCGCUUGUGAGUAGUUGGAAGUAUAGUAUUGGAAAAUAUGGAAAUGUUUCCAUAUUGGAUGGACCAUAUCGACAUUAUUAUGAAUAGAUAAGAUUCUAUUAAGAAUGAGUUGUCAUAUGGAAAAUAUGGAAACGUGUCCAUAUUGGGAAUUGAAUAUUGAAAAUCUAUGUCUAGAUUAGAAACUUUUAUGCAAAAGGAUGUUCAAAGGAAUGUACUUUGAGUGAGAGACAUCAUAUCUAAGGAAUUGUCUUGUAACAAUCUCCGAUAGAGGACUUUGUAAUAUCAUUGGCAAUAGUCUUUGUGACUUUGGUGCAGUGACAUUACGAAAGGAUCAUUGCAUAAAAUGUUAGAAUCUAGCAUAUUCUAUAAGUAGCAAGAAUUUGAUAUUCUUUCACUUAUGAAAAAGGAUUUGGAGUUGUGAAAUGAGAAUGAUUGGAAAUGUGUUCAAUUUGAUCUAUUUCACAAAGUAAGAACCAUAGGUAAACAUUGUGUGCAUGCUAGGAGCAUGGGACAAGUGUAAUAAUUCAAGUAAGAAGUUGAUUACCCGAAACGACAAAUAAUGAGUAAUCGAUAUGGUGAUAAAUAAAAGGUGUUUUAUUUAUACUCAAAGGUUUGAGGCCAUAUGGGAUUAGUAUUAUUCUUGUGUUUCACUUUGCAUGUUUUGACUUCCUGAAUAAUUUAAUUGGUUAAGAACAGUCGAAUUAUUCGAACGGGCCACAGUCGUUCAUAUGUUGGAAGUAGGUAUGAAUGAAGACUGUCGUGAAUUGGUGUGUGGAUUGUCUAAAGAGUAUUAGACAUAAGCAAAUGUUUGCUGCAACGUUCAUGAGUGCUUAUGAAUAUGAUUUGAGCAUUGGAUUAAACCCACGCUCACUUGGAUCACUCCAUGAAUUGUAUCACGAGUGAUUGGUGAGACGAUAACAUCUUAUAUUCUUGAAACCGAGAUGUGUGAGUUGUAUCUUGCAAAUCGGUUGCACAUUGAUAAUAUGUAAACGCACUAGUAACUUGGUGUUAUAAAACAUAUUGUUGUGUGUGAUUCGGUGAGUGAGUGCAAGCAAGCAUUGUAUCAAAGUUUAUCCGUUCCUUUUAUCCAAAGUAGGAUAAAAGCGAUAUCUUUGGGCCCCUCGAUGAUUUAGUGAUGACAAACGUAAAUGCUCGGCCGGGCUAGGGCUAAUUUGAUUUGUUCAAUUAGUCAGUCGUCAUAAAUCGGGAAUCGAGAUAUAGUACAAAGAGAAUGAUUUGAAAUCAUAUCUCAUAUGAUAUCUAGAAUGGAGGAAUAUAUGAUCCCUUAUCUAAGGACACGCGUAUCUGAUAUGAUCAGAGUUGACAGCGGCUUUGGAAAGCUACGAUUGCAGAUCAGGAUCUGAAGUCAUACGCAUAAUAGUUAUUAGACUUAUCCAAGUGGGAGACUGUUGGAUUAGUGUCUAAGUCCAUAACUAUUUUGGUAUGUACUUGACCCGAUGGUGCAUGGUCCUUUUGGGUUGCCUUCACCAAAGCAACUUGAUAGGAUGAAUUAUGGAGAGAAAGGAUUAAAUAUGAUUUAUUAAUAUAUUAUGAGAAUAAUAUAUUAAAGGAGAAAUCAUAUUGUUUAAUUAAUAUUAGUCAAUAAUUAAUUGGUAAUUAGUUUUGUGACUAAAAGAGAUUAAUUAAACUUAAGGGACUGGAAUUGUAAUUAUAAGAUAAUUGCAAUUUGGGCCAUGGAUUGCCUUUUAUUAUAAGGUGGACGAAUUCUAUGGAGGAAGCCCAUAUGAAAUCGUCCAAGGCCUUAUGGAAAGGGCUCCAUGGGUUGCUUAGGGCUUAAGCAUCCAAAUUAGGGUUUCCUUGUUAGAUAACCCUGAUUGCCUCACUAUAUAUAGAUCCCUUAAGGACCAAAAACGUGGACAAGCCUCUUGCUAGGGUUUCACACGAGUUUUGGCAGCCUCCAUCCUCUCUCCUCUUCAUCCUCUUGCUUAUGGUGUUUGUGAACCAUUAGAGGAGUGACACUUGUGACUCUCAGCCUUCCAAAGUCAAUACAAGGAGAUUUGGUAUUGUUAUUGCUACAUAACAAUCAAGGUAACAUUAUAAACCUAUUCUCAUGUUAAUAUGAUUAUUUGAAUGCUAUAAUUAGGGUUUAUAGUCUUGGAUAACUUGCAUGUACAAUAGAGAAACCUAGAUCCAAGCAUUAGGGUUUGUAUAAGCACAUAGGAUGUUCUUAGGACCAAAACCCAUCAUUUACUUGUUCCAAAACUUGAGGGCAAGUUUUUUAAACUUUCAAAACUUUACAUUUCUCAUAACUGAUGAGUUAAUUGAGUAUUAAAAUGACGACUCUUCAUUUUUAUAACUCAUGUGUUCUUAUAAUGGUUUUUAAUUAAAGUGUGACCUUUGGUUUUCCAUAACUUGAGGACAAGUUAUGAACUCCAUUAAAACACAUAAUGAUCAAGAAUUAAACUACCGAGGAGAUUAUAAACAAUUCCUAUGAUCAUCUAAUCUCAUAAGUUCAAGAACAUGAUUAUCAAUAAUUUCAAGAAUCAUAUAUAACUUAUAUAAAACUUGUAAUUUUUGAUAAUAGCCAUUGUAAAUAGAUUAGCAUAAACAUUACACCAUCUAAAACAAGUUUUAUAACACAAAAACAGUUUAGGGUAGUGUUUCUAGUCCAUUUCAAGCAGCAAAACUCGAAAAACUGGACACUGUAGCCUCUACUCGUCGAGUGCAUGAACAAAAUCGACGAGUAGCAUGCAUUUCUUCAUGGACUCGUCGAGUCCCCCCAUGGACUCGGUGAGUUCAUACAUGCAGUGAACAAAAAAUUCGAUUUUCAAGCUAUUUGCAUCAAGUAUCAAGUAAACAAACCUAGGCUCUAAUACCACUGAUGGGUUUUGAACAUUCUAACACUCCUAUGGUGUACUUGCAACCUUAGAAACCUUUGAUAUAUGUUUGACUAAGAUACAUGCAAAUAAUUAUUUUUCCAAGGUUCUUAUCCUAACUAGCAUGGCAUGGGGUACUUGAAUCAAAUAAAGCUAGUAGAAUUACUUACCUUGUAGUUGUAGUUGAUUGCUUGGAGUUUGAGAGCCUAGCACCAAUAAUGUGGAUGCCUCAAAUGGAAGUCACAAAUCACCACAAACUUGGAAACUUGAGAGAAUAGUCACAACCUUUCUUGAAAUCGGCCCUCUUAGUAUACUCACCACAACUAGUCUGAUUUCAAGAACCAAAGCCUCCUUUAUAUAGUGUGGUGGAUUAGGGUUACAUCCAUGUAAACCCUAAUACCCAUGUCUUUUCAUUUCCAUGAGACCCAUGGGUUAAAGCUCCAUGGAGUAUCCAUGGACUUUCCAUGCAAGCCUAGCCCAUUCCAAAUAAGCAUUAGCCCACACUAUAUAAAUGCAAGAGCCCAUAUUUAAUUAGUCAUACUUUUGAUCUCUAAAUUAACUCUAGAUGAAUUAUAGAUCAACACUAAUUAAAUAAUAUGAUUUUAUAUAAUAUAUUAGAACUUAUAAAAUAUUAAUAAAUCAUAACUUAUACUAUUCUCAAAAGAUUAUCCAUAAAUUGUUCGGGUGAAGUGCAACCCAAAUGGACCAUGUCGGGUCGGGUCAAGUACAUACCAAAUAUAGUUAUGGACUUAGACACUAUAUCCAACAGUUAUGCAUGUGGUCAUCCGAGCCACAUGAGCAGGGACUGCCACAAGAAGGGCUUGAUUUGUUUUCAGUGCAACCAGACUGGUCAUAAAAAGGCCGAUUGUCCGAAGAUAGUUAGAGGAGGAGGAGCAGUGGCGGCACCUGCGCCCACCACAAUGAGGAUUACUGAUGGCCGCCCGGUUAAGGCGGAAGCUCCUGCAGUGAAAAGUCGUGCAUUUCAGCUGACUACAGAGGAGGCCCGGGCAGCGCCAAACGUCGUGACUGGUAUGUGAUAUAAUUUUGUCUUGUUUAUUUUAUUGUUAUGCUUAUGUUAUUAUGAUCUUGUAUGGGGACCUUCUUUGUAAGUGGUUUGUCGGCUCAUAUUCUUUUUGAUUCAGGGGCUACCCGAUCAUUUGUAUCUCUUGCGCUCAACAAGAAGUUUCGAGAUGCUCCAAGGACUUUGGAUUUCCCACUCGAGGUAGAGAUUGCAGAUGAUCGUACCAUGAGCAUUGCGAGGGUAUUUCAGAGGAGUGUUCUGAAUAUGUUCGGUGAGAGGUUUCCUAUCGAUUUGGUUCCGAUUCCUUUGCGAGGGUUGAAGGUGAUCAUCGGGAUGGAUUGGUUAGGGCCCAAUGGGUCCAUGAUAGAUUGUAAGAGUUAGCUGGUGAGAGUUCGAACCCAAUAUGGGGGAGAACUGGUUAUUCAUGGAGAGAGAGCCUCGUAUGGGCCAGCCCUCUAUUCACCUGCUAGGGCUAGGAGACUCCUUCAGCAUAGUUGUUCUGGGUUUCUGGCUUAUGUUUCAGACAUGAGGGUAGAGACUGCGCCGGAUAUGAGCAUCGUAUUGAUUGUGCAAGAUUUUCCUGAUGUAUUUCCAGAGGAGUUGCAUGGGGUGCCUCCCGAGAGGCAAGUGGAGUUUUGUAUUGAUAUAGUGCUUGUUGCGGCUCCGAUAGCUAAGGUGUCGUAUCGUCUAGCUCUGCCUGAGAUGCAGGAGUUGUUUACGCAGCUUCAUGAGCUCCUAGACCAGGGAUUCAUUCGUCAGAGUAGUUCCCCGUGCGGAGCACCGAUCUUGUUCGUGAAAAAGAAGGAUGGGUCACACAGGAUGUGUAUUGAUUAUCGAGAGUUGAACAAGAUAAUGGUGAAGAACCAUUAUCCGCUUCCGAGGAUUGAUGAUUUGUUCGAUCAGCUUCAGGGUGCAUCUUGGUUUUCCAAGAUUGAUCUUCGGUCAGGGUAUCAUCAGAUGAGGAUCAGGGAUGAAGACAUACCCAAGACGGUGUUUAGAACUUGUUAUGGUCAUUAAGAGUUCGUGGUGAUGCCAUUUGGGCUCACCAAUGCUCCAGCAACGUUCAUGGAUCUCAUGAACCGGGUUUACAGACUGAUGUUGGAACGGUAUGUGAUUGUUUUCAUUGAUGAUAUUUUGCUCCAUUCUAGGACCAAGGAGCAGCAUGAGCAACAUUUGAGGGAGGUGUUGGAGACGUUGAGGAGGGAGAGGCUUUAUGCCAAAUUCUCCAAAUGCGAUUUUUGGUUGCAUAAGGUGCAGUUUCUGGGGCACAUCAUUAACCAAUAGGGUAUUUUGGUAGAUCCGACCAAGAGUGAGGCAGUAAUGCAAUGGGAGGUUCCGAAGCAUGCAUCCGAGAUCCAGAGUUUCUUGGGUCUAGCGGCGUACUAUCGGAGAUUUAUUCAGGAUUUCUCCAAGAUCGUCGUACCUUUGACCCGGUUGACCAAGAAAAGUGUGAACUUUCGGUGGGGUCCAAAUCAGCAGUUAGCUUUUGAGACCUUGAGACAGAGAUUAUGCGAGGCCUCGAUUCUAGCACUACCCAAGGGAUUGGAUGAUUUUAUAGUGUAUUCAUCUAACUUGUUUUUAUGUUAAAAAUGUCAAAGUUGUAUGCUAGUUAGGGUUCAUACUUUGGAGAAAUGAAAAUUGCAUGUAUAACUUGAGAAAACUUAGAUCCAAAGCAUUAGGGUUGUAUGUGCACCAUAGGAUUGUUAUAAUGCUCAAAACCCAUCAGUGGUAUCAGAGCCUAGGGUGGUUUCUGUUAUAUAGAUGCAUUGAUUGUUCAAACUUGAAGCAAAUUGAAAUCUAGUCUCUGACUGGUGGACUUGACGAGUCCAAUGAAGGAGCUCGACGAGUAGGAUGAACUCGACGAGUCCCUUGCCUGGCUCGAAGAGUUGAAUCAUCUAUUUGUAGAUUUUUGGGUUUUUGGCCAGGAUUGGAUUAGGAUCAUUACCAAAAACUGUUUUGUAUCAUAAAAUUCGAUUUUUCUUAUAUUGUAGUGAUUAUCCUCAUCCAAUUAAAAGAUAAUUGUCAAAUUUUAAGAUAAUUACUUGAUUAUAUGAUAAGUUGAUUAUUUGUAUUAUUUGAUUUGAAUUGUCUUGCUAUAUGAGUUGAAUUAGGUCAAAUUGGUAAUAGAUAAAUUAAUUUAAUUGUUUUAAAAUUGAUCUAAGAGGUUUUGAAGAGUUUCAAAACUUGUUCUCAAGUUUUUGACUUUGAAAAAUCUCAUUUAUGAAACAUUAAAUUCUUAAACCCUAGUAAUUUGAAAAGUCUCAACAAUUCACCUCAUGGUUUUGAAAUUUAAUAUUUGAUUAAAUAGCUUUAAUUUUGAAGUCUUAAAUUUAGAACCUUGAUAAUUUUGAAUAGUUCAAAUUACACCCUUAUGAAUUUUAUUGAAUUAAUUAAGUGUAUAAUUAAAAGAAAGAAUUAAUAAAUCCAUAAUGAAAAUAUGGUUUAAAUUUAAUUAAAUUAAAAGUCUAAUUUAUUAAUAGAUUAAACCAUCUAGUAUUUUAAAAGUUUAAAAUACACCCUUAUACUAUUAUAUAAAUGUUUAACUUAUAUACAUACAUACAUACAUGCAUAUAUAUAUAUANUUAGGUUCAAAUGUUUUCACUAUCUAUUGUGUGUCUGUAUGAUUGAUUCUGGACCAAUCAUUUUAGUUAUUUUAAGAAAGUAAUUAAUGUUUAUUAAAUGCUGAAGAUGUAAUUAAUACCUAUUAUAUCUUCAACAUGUAAUAUGCAUUAAUUACUUUCUUAAAAUAACUAAAAUGAUUGGUCCAGAAUCAGUCAUACAGGCACACAAUAGAUAGUGAAAACAAAAUAACCUAACCCUAUAUAUAUAUAUAUAAGUCAGUCUUACCAUUAGUAGACCUCAUUCACGAAGCUGAUCUAUAAGGGGUGUUUAAGGAAGCGGCCUGUAAAACGACCGCCAUUGGGUAUCUACUAUUACCCACCGCACCCUUGACUACUGGAGGGUCGUUAGCUGAACGGGUAGGAUAGGACAUCCUCAUUAAUAACUAUAAUGAAUAUAUAAAGUAACUAAACCUUUAUAAAUCCACAAUCUUAGUUAGUUAGGAAAAAUGUGCAUUUGAUGUUGACCCAUGAAAUUGCAUAUUGCACCUUAUUGGUCGUUAGUGGAGCGUGUGUGGUUAACUGACACACUAAUCUGGGACUAAUGAAGGAUGGAAAUGGGUAGCUCGAUAAUUUUCAUAGAUCAAUGGAGCGUGUGUGGUUAACCGACACAUUAGUUAGGUGAUAAAUGAAAUCGAGAGUACCAAGCUAAUUUGCAUGGUUAUUCACACCUUGUUUACGAUCCUCGGUAUCCCAGUCACAAACUUGAAGGGCGUAAUCAAGAUUAAACAUGCCAUUGAAAAGUUCAAUGAAUCUAAAGGGAUCUAGGAGUUUCAAUUCAUUUAAAACCUAAUAUUCGUUUAUCAUUUUUUUAUGGUGGCAAUUGGUAAAUCGUCAUUUACCUACCUCGAAAUAUUUUGCAAUUGGAUUAUGGCAUCCCUGUAGCACCCGAUUCCUGGUACGCCCUUAAUUCAAAGUAUUUUUAUGUUUUUCUCUGGGACUCGACGAGUUAGAUGCCCAAAUCGUCGAGUAGAGUAGGGACCCGCAGACAUUUUAAGUGACCUACUCGACGAGUCGGUAGACUGACUCGAUGAGUAGGUGUUGUUUGAGUGAAACCCUAAUCUAAGGGAUUGCACCCUAUUUAAGCAUCUCAUUCAGCUUCCCUUCGUCCCUAUUGCUCUCAGAACUCUCCAUAUCAAGCCCUAAUCGUUUGUGUAAAGAUCUAAGGCCUUUGUGGUGAUUUUUGGUGAUUUUGGAACAUAAGAAGGAAGAGAAAGGCUUGAGGAAUCAAGAAGAGGCCACAGGAGUUCGAGUUUGUGCACCCUCUGCAAUUCUUUAGUGGUAUAAAGUUGAUACCUUGCUCUUUCAUGUUUUAGAUCCCUUUUUGGGGUGAUUUAGGGCUUUUAGGAGCCAUUCUUGGUGACCAAUCAUGAGUGAAAGCAUGGUUGGGGGCUAAGACUUCAGAUCCAAGGUCUUUAAGGGGUUACAAGGAAGAAAGGGACUGAUUUUGGAGCCUUAGAGAGCCCCAUGCAUCUUAAGAUUCUCAUUUAGGGCCAUUUGAGCUUAUAGUCCCGUGCACCAUGCAUGCACGUAAAGUUUGUAACUUUGCAUGCUAGAUCGAUCUUAGAAGCCUAGAUCUAUCGUUUGGUCAAGUGUUGUACAUCAGAAAUCGAGAAAUGAGACUUGGUCAUUCUCGACUCGGCGAGUCCAUGGCUUGACUUCCCUUUUCUGUUAUGGUUCGAAGGAACCCAGUGAGUGUUAGAGUGGUCUUAGAGGGGUCGGGGGAGUGACCCAACGCAUUGGACUUUGCCAUAGAAUUGGGAAUCAUAGGACUCGGCGAGUGAAUAAAUAGACUCGGCAAGUCCAAGGCAAUCUCCCGACUUUCGAAUAUGAACUCGACGAGUUGUUCAUACAACUCGACGAGUCAAGGGCAGGACUUGUUCUUAGGAUGGAGAUGAACACGACGUGUUGUUCAUAUAACUCGGUGAGUCAGAUGAAGGUUCAUUCGGAGUUGUUUUAGAAGGGGAACUCGUUGAGUCAUUGCCAAACUCGACGAGUAGAGGCGUGAAGAAGGACAGAUGAAAGGAUAGGGACUUGACGAGUUGGUGGCCCAACUCGGCGAGUCGGGUCAACUGGAAGUUGACUUUUACUUUGACUUGGUCAGGGGUAGAAAAGUCAUUUUACCCUAAGAGUGGUUAUCAAUGUCUGACUAAGUGUUUUAGAGAUUUAUAGCCAGAGGAUCACCGGAGCAGCAGUCAGACAUCUACCGAUCAACUUUUCAGCAGUCAGCCUUACGAGGUGAGUUACCUUCCAGUAGCGGUGGGUCUACGGCCACAAUGCCGGCCCCCCAGUAGGAUUUGUAUGUUAGAUGAUUGUCUUUGUGAUAUUCAUCUGGGUUUACUACUACCUGAUAUGUUUAUGUGCUAGCAUGAUAUGUUAUAUGUGAUAGUGGUAGUAGGGGGAGAAUAGUCCCCAAGUUCGGUUAUUGGGACCGAAGGGUGGGUCGAGCGCUCUAGAAUUGCCUAACAGUAUGUUUAUGUUAUGAUAUUAUGUGGUAGUAGUAGGAGGUGAAAUAGUCCUCGUAUGUCGGUCAUAAGGACCGACGGGUAAGUCAAGCACCCCAGAACGGCUUGACUUGGGUAGUCAGGCGCAUCGCAGUAUAUGUGUGUUAUAUGGUAGUGGUAGGGGUGAAAUAGUCCCCGAUAGUCAGGUGAAAUAGACCGACGGGUAAGUCAAGCACCCCAGAAUGGCUUGACCUGGGUAAGUCAAGCACCCCAGAAUGGAUUGACCUGGGUAGUCAGGCACCCCAAAAUUGUCUGAUAGUAUGUUAUUGUAUGGUGUGUGGUAUGAUGGGGGAACUCACUAAGCUUCGUGCUUACAGUCUUCAGUUUUGUUUCAGGUACCUCUUCAAUGAAGGGGAAGGAGCCAGCGCGGUAGCAUGACAUCACACAUACACACAUGAUUUCCGCAUUACAAAUUUUUCUUGGGAUCGUACUUUGAUUUUUCUUUAUCACUAUUGAUGAUACGGUUUGAAACAUGUUGUUACAGUUUUAUAAAUUGAAUCGACAUUGGUAAUAUUUUGGUAAACUAUUUUAUGUGUUACUUGAUUAAAAAUGAAAUUUUUGGCCUUGAAAAAUUGGGAUGUUACAAUCCCUCUUCCAAAUUGUGAAAUAUUGUGUUGGGUCCUAGCCUUAAUAUCUCAUUUUGGGUGGUAUAUUAAGGAUUGCAUCAACUAACUUGAAUUUCUCCCUUGUAGAUGUCUAGUUAUGACAACUAUGGUCUUUCCAAUUCUUUUGGAAAAAGCUUUCCUCUUGAAGAUGAUAUUACACAUGACGAUCGAGAUGAAAGAUCAAUCCCUUAUUCAUACUUUAGUGGAACUUCUCUUCCUCCACCUCCUUCAAUUGUUCUCCCUGACCCACAUAUUCGUCGACUUGAAAAGUUCAAGAUCACUCAAGCCCUGUUGACAAGCAAACACGAAGAUGGAAAGUCUGUAUGUGCUUACGUUUUGGAGAUGAAGUUGCAUAUUGACAGGCUAGGAAUAUUGGUUGUCGUUUUCCCAAGGAAGUUAGCUGUUGACUGGGUUUUUCAGUCACUUCCUAAGUUGUAUGGCAAGUUUGUUAAAGACUACUAUAUGACAGAUCAUGACGUGGCCCUUAUCGAUCUUACAUAUUUGCUGAUUACUGCUGAAUCAGCCAUGAUUUGGCGCACUAGUAAAGAAAAUUUGAUUAGAAGAUCUACUUUCCAAACUUCCGUGGACAUUGACAAUGGAAACAUUGGAAGUACAGAAAGGUUUUCUCUUCCCAAUGGAAAGGGAUCGGCCAAGGUCAAACCGUUUGAUCGGAUGGUAAAGAGAAAGGCUAAGUCUGAGAUUGUCCCUUGUACGAUUCCGAGAGAGUCUGUUUGUUUCUAUUGCCAAGAGAAGGGGCAUUGGAUGCGAAGCUGCCAUAUGUACCUGAAAGGUCGCAAGGAUGGUAAAGUCAAACUGUAUGACUCUACUUCAGGUAAGUCCACUAUCUAACUCUAUUAAGUUCCUAUUUAUAGAUUCUUAAUACAUGAUGUGAUAAGAUUGCAUUUUGAUGUUUUUGUAGAAUCAAAGAAAAGAAAGGAAGCUUAAAGAAUAAGCAAGCUGAAUUUGAUCAUGAAGAAAUGGAUUUUGAUCGCAUAGUUCAAUGAUCAGAUUUUUGAGCUGCUGCUUAAGAGUUAUGAUAGACUGCUUAGGAAUAUUUAGAAACAUAAUUUUCAUUUGUAUUUACAUUGUAAGGACAAGUUUUCCGUAAUUUUAUAAAUAAAGAAAAUUUUUGUUUUGUCUUAUUUUAUAUUAUCCUUGCAAUGGAAUUAGUGAAAAUUGUUGUUUAUAUAUUGUUAGCAAUGUUGGAAAAGAAUUUGAUUCUUUUGGUAAUGUCAUAAUUUACCAAAUAAGGAAAGAUUCUCAUCACCCAAGUUUCAAGUGGACAGAAACUUGGAAUCGUGCAACUUGUAUUAUAUGAUGAAUGAGAACCUUCAUCUUUGGGAAAUUAAGGCUAGUUUCUUGGUCACAUAUGUAUGUGAGUCAAGUGAAAGACUUAAGGAUCUAGUACACAUUAAUGUGUACUGGUCAGAUCCACCACAAAGGAUGAUAAAGACUAUUCGUCAUCAUUUACUAAAGUUUAGUAAAUAUGGUUAUGCUUACAAGAUUAAGUGUAAUUCUAAUACCUUGAAAAGUUUCAAAGUAUAAGAGAAUGAAUAAGAAGAAUCAAUUAGGCAGAACGAUAAAAGUUUUCUGCAAUCUGAAAAGAAAGGAGAGUACUUAAGUAUCAUGUUAUAUGAUCAUCCUAAUGAUUAUGGAACCAUAUCACAACUGAUCCUCUAAGGAAAACUUAGUGCAUAAGUAUGGCUAAGAAGAAGAAUCGGGAAUUGUUGAAAUGGUUAAAUCAAGAAGAUGAGUCAUACUUCGUUCCAAAAUCAAGUCUUAGAGUCAUACUCCAAGAUUGUGUCUUGAGUGACUUAUCCUAAGUGGGAUUAUAACACACCAUGAAAUGUGGAAUAGAAAAUUUUUCUUACUCAUGCACAUUUGAGAUUGGUAGUUGUGAUGUUUUGACCAACUAAGACUAAUUGUAUGAAGUGUUUUUCUUGAUAAGAACCUGCACUAACUCUUGAAUAUUUGUUUGUCAAGGAAUGUUUCUUGAAAAGAAAAUCUUAUAUGUCAAGAGGCCAGUGGGAGUCUUAGUGGUCUUGAAUAGCUUCAAGAACUAAUCAAGAAUAAACCUAUUUUUCAUCACUAGCACACGACUUGAGUUUCGUAACCUAUUGUGUUGACAUAUUCUUGUUUUUGUGUUUAUUCCAAUUAAGUUGACUAUGCAUGUCAGUUCUAUGAGUUCUCAUUUGAUUUCAUAAGGCAAAGCACCUUAAUCAAUGGACAAUACAUUGAUCUGUAGGAGUGAGCUGCACAAUAACUUGGAAGCCAUGGUAGGACCCUUGUACUACUAAAUGGAAAUAAAUUAAGAUUGAACAAGUUCAGUCCAUAUGAGUUUAAAUUUGUCAUAGACCUUAUCUUGUGAUAAUGGUUGGAACUGACAAAUUCACAUGGAUAUGAACACAUACACCACAAAAUCUAAGUGUCAUAAGGUGUCUCCCCUUCAUGAAAAUGAUUGUGAGGAAACGCUUUCACUAGUAGAUUUUAAAGAGUUAGCAGUUGUGUUAAUUGCAUUCUCAAAUUCAAUUAUGAUUACGACAUCCCUCUUCAUAGUUCGAAUUGUGAGAAAUGGUAAAUGGUCUGAACAUUCGGGACUUACUGUUGUAAGUUCUGAAAUAGUUUAGACACACAUACGAGCUUUCUAAUGAAAGGUGUAUGAACUUGAUAUGUCUAGAUAAAGUCUUAUUGAAGCAUCUCAUCUCAGAAAUCUGAACUUUGGUAAGAAAGUCAAUAAGUAUUGUUUUCUAGAAGUCCAGUUGAUUUUUGGAUACAUGUUAAAGCUAGUGGGAACAUAAUUGUUAUGCUAGUAAGAAUAAUUAUGAUGCUGGUGGGAACAUAAUUGCAAGGUAGCAAUGCUAUUUAUAGGAAACAAAUUUUCAAUUUUCAAAGUUGCAAAGUUUGGGAAUUGUUUCGAUAUAGUAAGUCUUAAGGGAGAGUAACUCACACUUCAUUUCAAGAUCUAAAAGUUUAGAUUGAAAUUUUAAUGGAACUUAGUCAUGGAUAUAUAUAUAUAUAUAUAUAUAUAUAUAUANAAUGUUGAAAUAUUUCAACAUUGGAAAUUCUAUACAUGGAAAUAUUAUAGCAAAAGAGUGAUCAAGUAUCAUGUCUUUAUGUAAGACAUUAUGAAUCGUAUCCUAUAUGCUUCAGGUAUAGGAUUGAUUGCAUAUUCUAUGAUGUUCACUUGUUCUAAUUUUCAAAUGCCUAGGGCAUUAAGAGGGAAAAAGGACUAGAACAAGACAUGACUAAAAGUUGUUAAACAACUAUGAAGGACAAUCUAAAGUUCGCUAAAGAUUGGUUGUUUAUGGACAAUUGAAGUAUAGUAAUAAAUGGAACAUAUUGACAUCAUUAUGAAUAGAUAGGAUUCUAUUGUGAAUAGGUUUUCAUAUGGCAAAUAUGGAAAUGUUUCCAUAAUGGGAGUUGGAUAUUAAGAUUCUAUGUGUGAAUUAGAAACUUUUAUGCAAGAAGAAUGUUCAAAGGAAUGUACUUUGAAUAUGAGACUUCAUUUUCAUGGAAUUGUUAACAAUCUCCAAUGGAAUGCUUUGUAAUAUCAUUGGUUAAGUCUCUGUGACUUUGGUGCAUUGACAUUACAAAAGGAUCAUUGCAUGUAAGUUUAGACUCUAACACAUUUAAAAGUGACAAGAAUUUGGAAUUCUUACACUUAUAAUAAGAAUUUGGAAUUGAGAAAUGAGCAUCAUUGGAAAUGCUUCAAUUUGAUCUGUUUCACAAAGAAAGGACCAUAGACAAACAUAGUGUGCAUGCUAGGAGCAUGACAUGACUAUUGUUUUAAAUUCAAGCGUUAAGUUGAUUAAUCAAAACAUUAUACAAUGAAUAAGGUCUAAUCAAUAUGGUGAUUAAAUAAUAAGUGUUUUAUUUAUACUCAAAGUAUUGAGACCAUAUUAAAUUAGUUUGUUCUUGUGUUUCACUUCACAUGUUUUACUUCCUGAAUAACUAGGUUAUUCAAACAUCCACAGUCGAUCAUACUUUGGAAGUAAGUAAUGAGGUAAGACUAUGAUGAAUCCGUCUGUAGAUUGUCUAAGGUUUUAGACAUAGCACAAGUUUGUUGCAGUAUUCAUGAGUACUCCUAAAAUAAGAUUUGAGUAUUGGAUUAAACCCAUGCUCAUAUGAACCACUUCAUGGAUUUUAUCACGAGUGAUUGUGAGAUAAUAAUAUCUUAUAUUCUUCAAACGGAGACAUAUAGUUGUUGUUUACGAGUCGGUUACACAUUGAUAAUACGUAAAUGAAUUAGUAACUUGAUCUUAUAAAACGUAUUGUUGUGUGUGAUUUGAUGAGUAAAUAGUACAAGCAUAUGAGUCGAAGUUUAUCCGUUCCUUUUACCCUAAGGGGAUAAAAGUGAUAUAUGUGGGCCCCUCGAUGAAUUAGUGAUGAGACCAUAAAGCGCUUAGCCAAGUCUAAACUGAUUUGAUUUGUUAAAUUAGUCAGUCGUCAUAAAUUGGAAAUCCAGAAACAACACAUAGACAGAGAGAAUGAUUAUAAUCCACGUCUCAUGUCUAUACGAUAUCUUGUAGAAUGGAGAAAUAUAUGAUCCCUUAUCUAAAAGAUGCGUUACUGAUAAGAUCAGAGUUCGACAACAACUUUUGAUAGCUAUGACUGCUAAUCGGAUUCUGAAGCCGUAAUUGAAAUGAUAGUUAUUAUACUUAUCCAAGUGGGAGACUGUUGGAUUAUCUGUCUAAGCCCAUAACUAUAAUUGGUAUGUACUUGACCGGAUAGUAGCAUGGUUCAUUUGGGAUGCCUUCACCAGAGCAAUUUGAUAGGAUUGAUAUUUGAGAAAGAGGUUAUUUGUGAUUUAUUAAUAUAUUAUAAGAAUAAUAUAUUAAUUGAGAAAUCAUAUUUUAAUUAGUAUUGAUCAGGAAUUAAUUUAGUGAUCAAAAGAGACUCAUUAAAUUAACGGGACUGAUUAAGUAAAUCAAUGAUACAUAUAGUUUGGGCUAAUGAUCCGUGACUGAUUAGUGGUGGACUAAGUUUAUGUGAGAUUCCAUGAAGAGUUAGACCAAAAGACUAUUAAAUGAGUAAUUGGAUUAAAAGCCUAUAUGAAUGAAUUAGGGUUUACAAGUGACCCUUGGAGUUCUAAACUAUAAAUGUAACCCCUAAGCUCUUAAAAUCGACACUUGUGUUCCAAGAAGCACCCUAGCCGUUUUUGUGUGCCUCUUAGCCUCUCUCUCAUUAUCCUCCAUUUUCCUUGGUGUUUUUGACUCAUUUAAGGUAUCAAAUUUGAGGUACUAAUCUCUUGAAAGGCCAAGUUCUACAAGCUACAACAAAGAGGUAUUCAUCUAACUUGUUUUUAUGUUGCAAAUAUCAAAGUUGUAUGCUAGUUAGGGUUCAUGCUUUGGAGAAAUGAAAAUUUGCAUGUAUAACUUGAGAAAACUUAUAUCCAAAGCAUUAGGGUUGUAUGUGCACCAUAGGAUUGUUAUAGUGCUCAAAACCCAUCAUAGAGUUCUCAUACAACAAUAGUUAUCAUGCUAGUAUUGACCGACCCCAAUUUGAGGUGUUGUAUGGCCAGAGGUGUAGGACUCCAGUUUUGCGGGGUGAGGUUGGGCAUCGAGUCAUGGGAAGCACCUAAGUGGUUAUUAAGAUCACCGACUUGAUUCAGCAGGUGCGCAACAAACUGCGAGUCGCAUAAAGUCGACAUAAAAGUUAUGAUGACCUACGUUGUUCGGAUUUCGUGUUUCAGGUGGGAGAUUUUGUUUUGUUGAAGUGUCACCUUGGAAGGGUGUCAUUCAGUUUCGGAAGAGGGGCAAGCUGGGGCCUCAAUUUAUUGGUCCGUUCAGGAUUUCUUCCUGAGUUGGCAGGGUUGCUUAUAGAUUGGAUCUUCCAGAUGACUGAGUCGGAUCCAUAACACCUUCCAUGUGUCUCAGCUUCGGAAGUGUGUAUGGGAUGAGGCUGCAGUUAUUUCAUUGGAUGAAAUUCGGGGUGGAUGAGAUCAUGAACUAUAUUGAGAAGCCCAUAGUAGUUAUGGACAGAAAGACUAAGGCACUUCGUAACAAUGAAGUGAUGCCAGUGAAGGUGCAAUGGCAGCACCAGAGAGGCUCCGAAUGGACCUGGGAGUCAGAGGACGAGAUGAUAAAGCAUUAUCCAUAUAUUUUCACAUCAGAGGACUUCGAGGAUGAAGUCUAUCUCAAGUGGGGGAGUUUUGAAACGGUCGUGAUUCAGGUAUUUACAUUUCUUACCCUUAGUAUGAAAGUUAUUGCAAUUUGGUCCCUUCAUACGCUGGCCGUACUUGAGGAGUAUGCUUAGCGUACUAAGGAUGGAUGAUCGCGAAGGUUGUCAUGUACACUGGGCAUACCAAGGGGUAAGCGGAGCGUACGUGACUGAAGAUCAAAACCCUAAUAUCCAGACUUGAGACCUAUAUAAACAUCCUUAAGUCAUUUGGACCAAACCCUAAUCAGCCUCCAUCGCCCCAUUUUAUCCCUUAACCUCAGAUUUCCUUGUGAGGGUGAUUCUUGAUCUUAGAAAGUGUGUUGGUGGCUAUAUUAUAAAGCAUUCAAGAAGGAGAAGGUGAUGAUCAAGCCUUGGGUGUCAUUGAGCUUCUAUAUCCUGCAUGUAGUUCAGUUUAAGAAACUUCGGGAGGUAUAAAGUUAUAACCUUGUCAUCUCUUUUGUUAGUUUGAGCUAGGGUUUUGUUAUGGAGUACCUUUUUGGCUUUUGGACCUUCUCUUGUGAGUUGAGCAACUCCAGAUACUAGGAUAGCUAGAUCUAAGCUUCUUUAGCAUGGUAGAUGCACAAAGGUGCCAUCUUGAAGGCUGUUUUAACUCUAUGCAUAAGUUUGAGGUUUAAAAUGUGGUCUUAUUGGGAAGAAUGAAGUAUUAGGGUCACUCAUGACAUGCAAGGGCAUAAAGUUGCCAACUUUAUACCCUAGGACACAUUAAUGGACUCAGAUAUGAAGUUUGACGUUCAAAUCCCAAGUAUUAAGCACUUAAUGGUUGAUUGAUGCAUGUCCUGCUUGUACGCCACACGUAAUAAGGUAUACGCAGCACGUACAACUUAAGGGUCUAGUACGCUGAGCGUACUGGAGUGGUACGCAAAGCGUACACACUCCAGACGGGUGUCGGCUUUGUGUGGGUUGGCAAGCUUAUUGGGCCUUUUCAGUUUUGGGCCUGGUCCUAUUUAGAGUUUUGGGCUGAUAUUUUGGUUUGGGCAAUAGUUGUAUUGGUUGGGCCUUAUUGAGCCAUGUGGCCUAUUAAUAGAUUUUAUCGUGGAUCUUAGGCCCAUUAGCAUAGGGAAGACUUUUGGGCCACUAUGGAAGGAGUUAGGCUUAGGUGUUUGGAAUCUUUGAUUAGGUUGUGUUAUAAUCCUAAUUUAGGGUUAGUUAUAUCAUUGUUCAGUGUGUGGUUUUGGACUGUUAGGCGAGCAUCUUUUGUGUUCAGCAGACGGAGGUGAGUCUUCUCACUACACUCAUGUGUCGAAGGCACCAAGUUCGGCCCAUUAAUUGAUAUGAGAUGUUUAUUAAUUGAGUAUGUAAUGGUUUGCUAUUUGGUUUAUGUGUGGACUUAUGUGAAGACCAUGGGAAGAGCCCAUGGCUCGGAGAUAUAAGAGCAUGGGGGUAGCCCAUGGCAUUCCAAAUGAAGACCAUGGAGGGAGUCCAUGAAAAACUUAUAUGUAUGUGUGCAUGGCAUUAUGUGAUUAUGUGUUUUGUGUGUUUUGGGAAACUUACUAAGCGUGUGCUUACAGUUUUGUUGGAUGUUUUAGGUACUUCUAGCUCUAUGGGAAAAGGCUCGACUUGAUGGCAUGGCAUGCUUUAUCCAGUAUUUCCACAAUUAGUUUUUAAUACUCUGGUUUUUAAAAUAAUGUGGUUAUGUAAUGUGAUGUGGGAAACAAUUAUGGUUGGUAUUUAUAAUUAAAUAAAUGAAAAUUUUUCUGUAAAUAUUGGACUGUUACAUGCAAUCAAUCAUUGCCCCAUUAGGGCUCAACCAAUCCAUCCCCACAAUCACCUUGCUCUCACGCAUAGGAAUAAGAACCAAAUCAAUCGGACACCACUCGUUGAAUAACUCUAGAACAUAACUACAAUGAAUCCUCGAUACCCGAACUGGACGAUCAUCGACAAUCUUAACCUCUAAUGGAUAAUCAUGCUCCCCUGGAGCGUCACAGAAUCUCUUGCUAAGCGUGAGAGAUACAAACUAUAGGGUGGCACCCGAAUCAAACAUAACUAAAGCUGGAACACCGUUCACUAGGAACGUCCCUAUAUAACAUCAAUCAAAUAAUAAGAAUAAACAUCAAAACAAUAAAUUAACUAGGAAGAAAAUACAUACCCGUAACCACAUCUGGCACGACGCGAGCCUCCUUGGCUGAUAACUGGAAAGCUUGACUCCUCACGAAUAGCGCCUCCGCCUUGCCCUGGUGGCCGUCGGUGAUCCUCAAUGUCGUCGGAGUGGGUGCUACAAUUGCUUCUCCUACUAUCAAACUUAGACAAUCAACCUUCUUGUGGCCUAUCUGAUUGAAAUGAAAGCAAAUCAGACAUGAUCCCUGGGUGGUGGUAGUGACAAUGCAAUCCCUACUGAAGUGGCCAGUCUUACCGCACUUGAAACAACCAGAACCACCCGCCCUACAAGUUUCCUUGUUCGUUCGGCUGCACCGACCCCAACCAUGUUGGCCUCUCAAUCUCAAAUCUACAACCUUGGGCUUCUUCCCCAAACCCUCUGAUACCUGAUCCUUAACCAACUUCCUCUUCCUCACUAACUCCAAAUCUAUCUCCCGCUCUCAAGCCCAAGAUAUCAUUUUCCUCCAAUGUAUUACAACUAGACAUGCUCACAAACUCCCGUAUCUCAUCCUUCAAUAUGUCAUGGUACCUGACCUUCUUCGUCUCCUCGUGCACCACAUACUGCGGAACUAAAGGCCCUCUCACGGAACAUGGCGAUGACCUCUGCCACCGUCUCGGUAGUAUGGCGAAGGUCCUGAAACUCCCUCGCCAGCUGCUAAACCUCAAUCACGGGCACAAACUCAGCCCUGAAUCACAUAACAAAGUCAUCCCAAGACAUCAUCUCAAUGACCUCGUCUCUCAAAGCAUAUCCUACCUCUUCCCAUCAAUCAUGAGCUUUGUCUUUCAAAAUAUAGGAUGCAAGUAUGACCUUCGCCUCCUCAGGACAUAGGCUAGUCCGGAAAGCAUUUGUGAUGUCCUCCAACCAUCACUUUCUAACGAUAGGGUCCUUCUUCUGUUACUCCCUGGUUUCCAUUUAAUUAAUUUAUAAUGGAAAAUAAGUAUAAUUACAAAUUAAUAAUAAUAAUAAUAAUAAGAUGAUACACAGGUUUUAUAACUAUUUUCUAAAGAAAGGACUAAAUUUGAUAGCUUUGAAAAUCUUAUGCUAGAAAGAUAAUUGUUUAGAGGGACCAAAAUUGCCAUUAUGGGAAGUUUGGGGUAGAAAAUGGAAAUUUAGGUUUAAAGCCCAUAAAAUGGAUGAGGAAAUUGGUGUGGGGCUGAUUUCUUAAUGUCUUCUCUUUUAGCCCUAAAAUCCCAAGUAUUUAUUUCUUGAAGCCUAAAAUCCUUUUUUGGGUGUGUGCGCUUUGUGCUCGCGGGCUCGUGGCCAAGAAAAAAAGAAGAAGGAAAGGCCGAAGAUUAGAGCGGGAGAAAGAAGAGUAUAGAAGGGAGGUUGUAGGAACUUUUGCUGCAGAUUUCUCAUGUGGUACAAGGUAUUUUGGGCUGGUGGUGUUCAUCCUUAAGGGUAAACUUCCAACCUCCUUUCUUUCUUUUCUUCUUGACUCAUUUCUUCCCAAAUCACCACCACCACCGUGACUGUUGUCAUCUCCUGAAACCACACACCAUCGUCGAUCACCACACCCCUACUAAGGAAAGGUGGCAGUGGGUUGUGUCGUACGAUUGUAAGCCUUAGACCUUGGGAUUAUUGGAUAAAAUCAUUAACCCUAAAAAUGGUGCUUUUACCAUUUGGACAUCUUACUUUGGUUUGGAGAUUUUUGAAACAUCUUUUGGGUCAUUAGACAAUUAAGACCUGUAAUGUACCUAAAAUACAUGAUUUUAUCUGCGUUAUAGUUAUUUCCAUUAAGGGUUUAAUAGGUUAAGUUGUCAAUUAAUCUAAAAAGAACAAGCUGUGAUUUCAGGAUUUUACCCUAAUAUGUCCAUAUCUUUGAGAGAUCAUAUGUCGAUCAGGAGAAAACCUUUUAAGUAGAAACCAAAUCCUAGAGUUUCGUUUUUGAGUCCUCUACAUUUGAUUAUUUUUAACCGAAGGCCAGAAAUGCCUCUAACUAGAGUGAAAUCGACCAUUUACCCAGACUGGUCCGUAAUAAACUGGUUUGUGAGAAAGUUUUGUAAAAAUCACCAAAUAUUGUAGAAAAUCUUACAGAGGUGUGCGGAUACUACUUUUAAAGAAAAGACGUGAAAUUUAUGCACAUAAAAUAGUUUUCAAAAAUAAGGGUUUUAAGGGGGUAAAACAAGUCUCAAAAAGACCAUAACUUCUAUGUAUAAAUCUAUUUUUUUUUUUUACCCAUGAGCUGUUUGUAUUUUUUGAAUAUCAAAUAACCAUAACUUAACUAUAUUUUGCCUUUAUUAGGAAGGUUGAAGGUAGAACUAGUGUAAAGGGUGUCUUGGGCUACUUGAAGGGUUUUUUACCACCUCACUUCAUAACCUUAGGGUAUUAUAUGUCUGCUGUUAGGUCGGAUGUGACUAGGAACUAUAUGAUUGGUAGUAAAAGUAAUAAUUGUUGCAUGAGUUAUGUUUAAUAUUCUUAUUUGUUAUGUAGAAUGUAUAUGCAUGAUAUGUUUGGGCUUGAAGGCUGAAUAUUGAGUCGACUAAACGAAGGCCAUUGUGCCAAAUCAGGGGGACUGAAGGCGGAAACGCCAAGUCUGUGGACUCGUUGGCUGAAUAUCGAGUCUUUAUUUGGGUGUUGUGUGGGAUGUGUUCCCAAAUAGUGUGACAACCGUCACCUGCUUGUCAAAUCAAACUCAAAGAAAGUCAACAAGUCAAACUGGUCAACUCAACUAGUGCUAAUAUGAUUAGGGAUUUAUUUAUGGUUACUAAUGUAUGAAUCUAAAUCUUAAAUGCAAAGUAACACUUGAAAGUUUCAAAUGUUCAAAAUUCUAAACCCUAAUCAGAUUGAGGGAAGUAGCAACUCUAUAAGACACUAUUACGUGCACCUAAUAAAUAACGUCAUAAUCCUGGCAGCUGCGCCUAAAUAAUAAUAUUGGCAACUGCGCCUAAUAGAUAACAUUGUCAAUUGUACCAUAGGCAAGGAUGCACUUUGUGCCUAUUCCUUAGGAAGAUCUUUAGGAAUGAAUGAAUGAAUGAAGGAUAUAUGAUUCUUAGGGUAGAUCCUUAAGAAUAAAGAAGAUAAUGGGAAUGGGUAAUUGGGUUGAUUGUUUGAUGAUUAAACAUAAUAAUUAUAUUAUUGUGGGUUGAAAACCCCUAUGUACUCACUAGGUUUCCCUACUUGACCCACUCAAUAUAUUGUAUCAUAGGUAUCGAUACGAAGCUAUCUUACACUGGGAGAUU
rnacentral:lncRNA from 1 species